CGUUGAAAGUCGAUUACGCCAAUAGACAUAGAGUUGUGCUGCCUAGCCUUGUUUCCUAUCCUACUAUCAUAGACCUUUGUCAAGUUAUUACCCCGCCCUCUUGAAUUUGCACCUUAUCUGUGAGGCUGAAUGGUGUUAACGUUUUGGAUUGUCUCGAUGAGUUUAUUUAUAAUGAAUGGUACUUAUGUUGGUUCUUGUCACUUAGUUUUCUCAUGCAACUGGCGCCAAGGCGAUGGAUCUUUAUAGGGUUGCCGUUGCUCUGUAGGUCCUCUAGCUGAUUAUUCUAUAGCUUCUAAGUCUUGCUAUAGCUGAUUCUAAGAAGUUCCUGGUCUCCCGUCCUAAUUCUAUAGCUUCUAAGUCUUGCUAUAUAUACUUCGAAAAUCAAACCUUGCUACCUUAUGUAUGAUCAUAUACCUGUUACUAUAAUGAUCAAUGAGAUUUAUAGGAGCAAGGGCAUCGAUUGGUUUCACCUCCUGCAAGGGCAUCGAUUGGUUUCACCUCCUCAUUCGCGCACAGGUAAUGGUUUGGCACCUUGUGAAUACUCCCUCUGUUCUGAAUUACUUGUCGCAGGUAUGGAUGUAUCUAGAUGUAUUUUAGUUCUAGAUACAUCUAUUUCUGCGACGAAUAAUUUGAAACGGAGGGAGUAGAAGUGAGGCGGUGGUGGUUCUAGAUCCAGGGUGUUUGCUGGCGAUUUCGUCGCUCCCCUUCCCCUCCUAUCAUCGUAUUGGCAUCGCGAGGGGGAGGGGAGCUCCGGUCUCUCGUCCAGGCGCGUUUUAAUCUUUAGAGAGGUUUUUGAGUUUCCUCCGCCGAUGUCAUGUGGUGGUGCUCAUUGGAAUAAUGAUCUCUCAGCCCGUGCUCCUGCUCGUUGUAGGUGUUGCUGGUGCCGACGAGAGCUUAUGGGGUCCAAGCUGUCAGUGCGGUUACGAUCUGGUGUUGCAUCUUGGCAUGGCGGUGGCGAUGCUCUUGGAGUGCGGCGGUGAUGACUGGUGCGGAUUUGAGGAAGAUGGUGGAGAAUACGACCACCUAUUGAAGGGCGGGUUGGCGUUGACCCUGAAGCCGGCGUUGAAGAGGCUUGGACUCGUUCCUUAUCGGGCUAGAUCCAGAAGCCGGUGUUGAAGAGGCUCGGACCCCAAUUAAUGUUCCUUAUCGGGCUAGAUCCAGCCUUUAGCUCAUUAACGGACUUCGAUUGAUGUUCCUUAUCAGGCUAGAUUCAGCCUUUAGCUCAUUAACGCCUCCUGGCUAGGGAUGGUAUGCAGGUGUACAACCGCUUGUAUUCUCUUUGUUUUCUGUUGUUUGUCAUAUCAUCCAUGUAUCCUUAAAUAAAAGUAAUGUGUGCCUACGGGCGUGCAUCCUUUUUUCUGGCUUUGCAUUAUUCACAUCGUUAUGACAAAAUUGGCUACAGAGUAAUUAACAUCAUUCUCUCGGUCCAUGGACCCGAGCAUCACUCUAUAGCUAGCAGUGUCAGCAGUCGACGACACUGCAAGCGGGCAAUUUCCUCACACGCCUAUCCUCCAUCCGCUGCCUGACCUCCAUGGCGUCGCUCCAUCUAUCAGCCCCCGCAUACGCAUUGCUCAUCAGCGUGUAGUCCCCGCCGUUCCCGCCGUCCAGCUCCCUGAGCCUCUCGGCGGCCACCUCGGCGACGCCCAAAUCACCGUGCGUUCUGGCCGCCCCCAGCAGUAUCCUGUAGACGACGGGCUCAGGAGCGACGGGCAUCUCGGCGAUGAACCCCAGCGCUUUCGUCAGCCGACCGGCGCGCCCCAGGAGGUCGACGACGACGCCGUAGUGCUUCAUCUGCGGCUCCACGCCGUGGACCGACCUCAUGCUCUCGAAGUGGCCGAGCCCCUCCUCGACGAGCUCCGCGUUGGCGCACGCGAUCAGCACACCGAGGAAGGUGACCUCGUUCGGCCUGAACCCUUCGGCGAGCAUGGCGCGGAAGGCGCCCAGGGCUUCGUGUUCGGAGCCGUUGUUCGCCAGCCCCAUUAUGAUCGAGUUCCAUGACAGGGUGUCCUUCUCUUUCGUUUCUCUGAAGACCUGCAGCGCCUCCUUGGUGCUUCCGCAUUUCGCGUACAUGUCGAUCAGAGAAUUGUGCAGGAUGGUGUCGGCUUCGAUGCCGUGUCGCCUCACGUAGUCGUGGAUCCACUUGCCGAGAUCGAGAGCGCCUAGGUGCGCGCAGGCAGAGAGUACACUCGCGAGCACGACCGCGUCCGGUUUCACCUUGGCUCUCUGCAUCUGCCUGAAGAGUUCCAAGGCGUCAGAGAACUGACUGGCUUGUGAAUAGCCGGAUAUCAUAGAGCUCCAUGAGAUCAGAUCUUUGCUAGGAAUUUCCUCGAAUAACCUUCUUGCGGAGACCAGAUCCCCCGCUUUCGAAUAUGCGGUGAUCAUUGCGUUCAUUGUCACGGUGUUCCUAUCCUUCAUGUUGAAGAAAACCUUUUCAGCCGAUUGCAGCUGCCCACGUCUGCCAUAGUAAUCUAUCAAAGUAUUGCCCAAGUAGAUAUCCACCUCUAUGCAGUAAUCCUCUAUGUACUUGACCAAGCAAUCUGCCAUGCUCCAAUCUCCUAGACGAGUGCACGCAGAAACAACCUUGACCAUAGUGACCUUAUCAGCUCUCACUCCUUCGCCGUGCAUCAACCUGAAUAACUUCAAGACCUCUUGUAAUCUAUUGCACUGGCUGUAUCCACAUAUCAAAGAGUUCCAGGACACCACAUCCUUAACCAGCAUCUCAUGGAAAACAGAUCUUGCGCAGCACAAAUCACCACAGGCAGCAUAUAGAUGAAUCAGCGAAUUGGAAACGAAGAUAUCCGAAAGAAGCCCGAAUUUCAGUACAUGGUUGUGCAUCUGUUUCCCUUCCUUAAGAGCACUAAUCCUUGCACAAGCCUUCACUACAAAUGGGAACGUCAGGUUGUCCGGCUCCAUACCUUCUCCUCGAGCCUUCUUGUAGAAAGCAAUUGCAUCUUCUGGUGCAUCGCUUUGAGCAAGCCCCCUGAGUAUGAUAUUCCGAAGGUAAGUUGUUGGUGCUUCAAUCUGCCCAUAUACUUUAUGAGCAAGAGCCAAAUCUGGUUGUAGAAUAGCAUAGAAUCUGAGAAUCUUAGACAUUGCAUAUUGGCAAUUGUACAGACCAGAAACAAUGAGAUGGCCAUGAAGCUUCUUUAUGGCUUCCAUCAUUACAAUGCUGAAAGAAAACUGGAUUUUUUUCAUGAACAGUGGAUCAGUGAGGGGAAAUGCAGUAUGGCACAUGUCACUCAACACAUCUGCUUCCUGGAAGGGAUUAACAAGAUAAGUAAAAGAGCAACAAAAAGUAAUACUGUGAACUAGUACAAAAGCGGCAAAGAAUAAUACCGUGAACUAGUCUUUUUGAAAAUGGAACAAAUGACCAUAUUGUCGAUGCUUAUUAACAACAUAUUAUACAAAAAAACGAAUAGUGGAUAAUGAGAUUGUGAUUUUUAAAUACAAAGGUCAUAUGAUUCAACAAUCAUUCAGCAACAACAACAAAGCCUUUAGUCCCAAACAUGUUGGGGUAGGCUAGAUUUGAAACCCAUAAGAUAAAAAACUCUCAGUUCUUCUAUCUUUGCACGAAAGAUAUAAAAGGUAAAAGAACACAAUAAACCCACCAUAAAGUAGGAAGAUCUAAUCGCAUUUGGUAUAAUGCAGGGAGACAAUUGUAAUGAUGGAACAAAAACUCUUAAAACUGCAUGGAGCUUCUUCCCAUGAUUUGGUUCUGAAUUACUGACUCUCAUCAACCAAAGCAAGCCCAGGAACCUUAACAGCAUUUCUCUCAUCUACUAGCUUUCGUGCUCUUUCAGCAUCACUAAACCUACCGAGCUCAGUAAGCAUAUUGGAUACCACCACAAAAUCACCUCCAGAUUCUCUUUCAAUGUCUAGUAUUUUCUUCAUUGCCCUCUUCCCCAUCUCCACUUCUCCAUACUUACUGCAACAACCCAGCAGUGUCCUCCACACAACUGAAUUAACCUCCAUAGGCAGACCACUUAUUACUUGCUCAGCCUCACAUAAUCGUCCAGCCCUCCCUAGCAUGUCUAUGAUACAACCAAAAUGUUUGAUCUCUGGAGUUAGAUUGUAUUCAUAAACCAUGCUUCUGAAAAACAGUACUCCUUGCUCGACCAGCCCGCCAUGGUUGCAAGCAUUGAGAACACUUAAGAAGGUGACUCUGUUAGGCCUGAUUCCAGCUCUUCUCAUCUCUGCAAACAGUUCAACUGCCUCAGUUGACAACCCGUGCAUUGCAAGCCCUGAAAUUAUUGAUGUCCAUGACACCAAGUUUCUCCUACCCAGCAUUUCAUGGAAAAUCUUCAGUGAGUUGUUUAUAGACCCAAGCUUGGCAUACAAGUCUAUGAGCGAAUUCCCAACUCGGAUAUCCAACACAAGAAGACCCUUCUUCUCACAAUAGCCGUGCAAGGCCUCGCCCAAAAGAAUCCUUCCAAUAUUUGAUACCGCAGGUACAACCGCUAAAACAGUUAUCUCGCUUGGAUCAACGCCUUCAGCCAUCAUGCGGCGAAAGAGAGCAACGGCCUCCACAGACCGACAGGAGCGUGUGUACCCAUCAAUCAUCCCGGUCCACGAGACAACAUUCCUACAGGGCAUCCGCUCAAAGAGCAGCCUCGCGUACUCAACCUCGCCCCGCGCAGCAAACCCGGUGAUCACCACGUUCCAAGUAACCGCAUUCUUCGCCGGCAUCUCCUCGAACGCAAUCCGAGCAUCCGCCAGGCACCCGCACACGACAUAUGCGUUGACAAGGGCGGUAUGCACGUAGGCGUGGAUCUCGAACCCCUUGCGGACGGCGAGCCCGUGCAGCUGCGCGCCGGCCCGCGGCCACGCCAGGGCCGCGCAGGCCCCGAGGGCGUGCACGAAGGCGUAGGUGUCGUCGGCCGCGUGCCGGCGCGCGUCCCUGAAGAGGCUCAGGGCCUCCUGGGGGAGAGGGCCGCGGGAGUAGGCCUUGAGGAGCGCGUGCCAGGGCGUGGGACGGCGAUCGAACACCUGGCGGGCAACGAGCUGGGCGUGGAUCUGGAGGAGCGGGCGCCUCUCCGCCUGGUGCCUCAGGAGGAGGGCGACCAGGCCCCGGACGUGGGCGGCGGCGGCGUCGUGGGAGGGCGCGCAGCCCUGCCGCAAGAGGUCAGCCGGGAACCGCGCCAUGAGGGGGGCUCCGUCUUCUCCAGCCCUACCAACGCCUCUCUCGUCUACUUAGAAUAUGUCAUGGUGCAAUGGAGUGAGAGAGAGAGAGAGAGAGAGAGAGAGAGAGAGAGAGAGAGGCAUUACCUUGUCUGGAGAGAAGGUGGAGGAGGCUCGACUCGAAAUCGUCCUAGGCUUUCUCCCUCCCGCGCCGGCGUCCAGGACAAAAAGAAUGUGCUUUUGCUUGCGCUUCCCGGGCGGACCACGUUGCUCUGUUGACAGUUGACACGAGGCAACUCGCCGCCCGAUCCUCACUCGUCGCUCCUCCUCGAUGUUGCGCAGGGUCCUCGCCGGAGCGAUCACGCGCCUCUCCGGCCCCGGAUUCUCCAGCCCACCGCCGAGGAGACGGCCUCUCCUCCCGCCCAACGCCCCGCGCCUCUCCACCGCGCGGGUGCCGUCCGGCGGCGGCGAGGGCAGCGAGGGGGAGGAUGACGACGACCCGUUCUCCUUCCCGGACCAGCAGCAGCUCCCGCCGGACGUGGCGCGGGGCGUGGACGCCGUCGUCGCGGCGGCCGAGGGCGCCCACUUGGACGCCGCGCGCGCCGGGGCCCUCCUGGAGCAAUGCGGCGCCGCGGCUUCCGAGACGCUCGUGGUGGCCGCGCUCUCGCGCCUCCGCAACAGCUGGGCCGCCGCGCACGCCGCGUUCCGGUGGGCGGCCUCGCGGGGGCGGCCGCAGCCCGGGUACGCCCCGGGGCGCCACGCGUGCCACUCCAUGCUCGCCAUCCUCGCCAGGCACCACCGCUUCGACGACGCCCGCGCCCUGCUCGACGAAAUGCGCCGCAGGUCGCUCGCGUCGCCGAGGGCGGUGCUCCUCCUAAUCCGGCGCUACUGCGCCGCGCGUGACGUUGCUAGCGCGAUCGCCGCGUUCCGCUCGCUCCCGAGCUUCGGCAUUGAGCCCGGGGUCACCCAGUUCCAUGGCCUCCUCAGCGCCCUCUGCCGGUACAAGAACGUCAAGGACGCGGAGCACCUGCUUCUGUCGAGCGGGAAGGAGUUCCCGUUCGAGACCAAGGGCUUCAACAUCGUGCUCAACGGCUGGUGCAACAUGGUCUGCAGCACGCGGGAGGCCAAGAGGUUUUGGGUCGUCAUGGAGCUCAGGGGCAUCGCGAGGGACGUUGUGUCUUAUGGGAGCAUGAUCUCGUGCUUCUCGAAGGCCGGGAGCUUGGACUCGGUCAUGAAGCUCUUUAACCGCAUGAAGGAGGCUGGCAUUGUGCCUGACCGGAAGGUGUACAAUGCAGUUGUGCACGCGCUCGCCAAGGGACGGUGCGUGGAUGAGGCAAGAGCGCUCGUCCGGAGUAUGGAGGAGAAGGGGGUUGCACCAGACACGGCCACUUACAACUCCCUCAUUCGGCCUCUUUGCAAGGCUCGUCAGGUCCAGGAGGCAAGGGAGAUGUUUGAUGAGAUGGUAGGAAGGGGGCUGUUGGCAUCGGUGAGGACAUUCCAUGCAUUGUUCGAUGUUGCUACAAGCCCCACUGAGGUCUUUGAUCUGUUGGACAAGAUGAAGGCACUACAUUGCAAGCCAGAGAUGGACACUUAUAUUAUGUUGAUCCGGAAGUUCUGCAGGUGGAAGCAGCACGACAGUGUGGAGAAACUGUGGAACGCAAUGCCUGCAAACGGACUGACCCCUGAUCGGAGUGCAUACAUCGUGUUCAUACAUGGAUUGUUCCUGAAUGGGAAGCUAGAGGAGGCUGCAAAGUAUUUUGAGGAGAUGAAAGUCAAGGGAUUUUCACCAGAGGAGAAGACUGAAUCAAUGAUACAGGCGUGGCGUUCAGGCAGAGAGCUUGCCAAGGCAUCGGCUUCUGUCGGUUCAAAACAUGGUUCUGUGUCUCUCAAAGUAACUCGUAGAGAGUGGUAAAGAUGAAGAGCACUUGAAAGUGAUCUAUAGAAAGAAACACAGCUGUUGUUUUCGAGUAACUGCUAGACACUGGAGAGAGAUUAUUUGGUUAUUCAGAAAGAUGAGUCUGAUUACUUUCAAGUGAUCUUCAUCUACUUUGUUGUGGUUGGUUUGGUCAAGGAAGCCACGCUCGCAAGGGCCCUUGCUUUCGUUAGAGUUAUUGUCAGCGAUGACCUCAGCUGAGGGUAUGCUGUUUGGUUUCCUUUGUUCCAGUCUGUAAUCAAACUUUGUUCCUUCUAACAAGAAGGCGCAGAGCUCCUACCGUAUUUGAAAAGAGUAUGUUUACCCAGUUAUUUUCGUUCUCACUAGAUUGCUUGGCUGUAGAUUGGAAUUAGAAAGUGCAACCUAGGGUUUGUCCUUUUGAAACUUGGAUAGGCAUCACUUUGCUAUGACCCUUCUUUUGUAGCUCAUAGUUUGUACUGGGUACAUGUUCAAUGAUUGGUUCACAACAUAUAAUGACUGUCCACUAUAUUCAUACUGGUCCGACUCCUAUACUUUCACAUAAUAAUAUGUGCAGAGAUUUUACAAAAUAGUGAGAGCUCAUUUCAUAUGGUUUGAUACUAGUACUAAAUACACACUUCAAUAUGUAGCUGUAUUCAAUAUUAGCAGUUCCAUUUUCAUGCUUCCAUUGUUUGCAGAGUGUACUGGCAUAUUUAUUCACAUAUAACCAUUUAGUGACCACUCAUCGCACUGCAGAAUUGGCCGCUGUGUGAAGGUUUAGGUCAUAUAAUUUUCUUCUUGACAAACAUAUUGUUUUCUUUCUGCCAGCCAGCCAUUGCAACCUUUCUGAUAGCAUUAAUUCAGUGCAUGUGCACACUAAAUAGUCCAGCUACAAGAGCACAUUGGAUCGAAGCUGGGGCGGGUUGCCGCCAGCCUGCUUGUAAUCAAUGAAUCUGUUGAUUCUGAGGUGAGCGUCUACCAGAAUUCCAGUUAUAUCUGAUCAGUUAGGCGUUAUUUUCUCUGCUAUCCUGUGGCUUCAGUUAGGCCUAGUAGCUAGUGGAUUCGAUCAUACCGACGAUAAAUAUUGUACGCGUCAAAAAUUUAUCUUCGCAUGUGAUGUUUCAAGACCUUUCUGUAAUAUCCUGUAGGAUAUCCCUGCUAACAGCAAGUAGCUUGUUCUGUCAGUUGUCGCUACAUAUAUCCUGAUCUCUGUUAUGCAAGUCCAGUCUCCAAAAGAUGGUGUUGAUGCAAGUUGCUUUAAAUUUUGUUGAUAAGACGAUGACAGGUAAUGGAUACAGUUAUGGUGAAAACAACUUAUUUUCUCUGUACAAGCUACAGCCAACUGAGCCAUGCUUGUCAUGCUAGUGUCCACUGUCAAUUUCAUGGCAUCUUAUGGCUGCUAGCCUGCAAGUGUCGCUAACUCAUAUGACUCGUGAUGCAGACUAACAUAGUGCAUGAUCACGUCCCAACUUUAACCGAUAGCUGCGUGGUCGACAACCAGUUGCAGUCUGCCUGUUCAUGUAUGCACUGAAUGUUACCAUUAUGCUGUUAAUAUCUGAACCCACUGUAACCAAAUUCGGAUAAACACCAAAUAUUCUUUUUUAAAUAAUUGGAAGAGGUGAAAAAUGAAAUAUCAGCUGUGAAAUAAUCAUAUAUUACCUCCGUCCCAAAUUACCUGUCUUAGAUUUUUGUAGAUACAGCUAACACUAAAACUGUCUAGAUACAUCCAAGACAAGUAAUACUGGACGGAGGGAAUAUGUGUUUCAGAUUUGUUUCAGAUUGAUCAAGGGUCAGAAGAAUAAGUUUGGUGUUUAGACUUGAGAUUAUUUUGAGAACAAAAUCACAUGUUUGUUCAGAAUACCAAAUUUAUAGAUCGAAACCAAAGAAUAAAUACUGCUACAAGCUUACCACCACAUCUUCAGAAUCAUGCCUGGGAAAUUUCUACCUCUUUCUAGUUCAACAAAGUAAGUAUUUGUCUAAUCACUUCUAUUUCCAAUAAUUUACACCAUAUCUUAUUCCAUCUCAGAAUGGUGGCAAGAUUGUUUGCCACAUCGGCCUCAUCAUCUGCGGCGAGCUCAUCGGCUGCAGGUAGCCGCUGCCGUUCUGCCCAGGCAUCGUUGUUGGGUUCACCAUCUGCCCCAUGUUCAUAUAACAAGUCUGCAGGUCGUCCAUACUCAGGCCGGUGAACCAGUCGCUGUCCUCCUUCACCGUCACCAUCCUCGCCUGCUGCUGCGCCAUGUCCAUGAAACCAUGCUGCUGCAGGCCGGAGGCGCUGUCGAUCUCGGAGGAGUCGUGCGUCUGGAAGCUGUCGGACAUGGCGUCGGUCGCCAGCGCGUCCAUGACCUCCCCGUUCGGCCCGGCCUCCACAGCCAUGUCCUGCUCCACCUUGAGCUUCUCCCAGUUGUUCUUCUUGUUGUACAGCCGGCACAGCACCCAUUCGUCCAGCUGUAAUAGCCGCACAUCACAGAGAGAGAAGGAUCAGUAUUCAGUAUCGAUUGAUUGAUCAGUAUUGUUGGUGAGCAAAGUGCAAACUGAAAGGAAGACGCUGGGGUUACCUUGAGGGAUCCCUUCUUGCCGGGUGCGCGGUCGGCUUCGGCGAUGCGGUACUCGUGCAUGAUCCAGUCGGUCUUGACGCCCCUGGGCGCCCUGCCGGAGUAGAAGACGAGCGCUUUCUUGAUGCCGACCGUCCUGCCGCCGCUCUCCCUGGGCGCCACCGGCUUGUCGGCGCCCGUGGCCUUCCAGUAGCCGGUGCCGGCGGAGCGGUUGGGGCGCGAGCCGUUGGGGUACUUGCGGUCGCGCGGCGUGAAGAAGUACCACUCCCUGCUCCCGAACAGCGCCCUCUCUGCACGAACGCCAAGGUCAGCACAGCACACACUGAAGGAGCAAGAACGAGGAAGCCAAGAAGGAGGAAGGAGGAGAGGAAAAAACAGGGGAGGGGAGGGGAGAGAGGAGGAAGAGAAGGCGCACCGGGCAGAUCCCAGGGGUUGAACUUGUAGAGAUCGACCUCGGCGAUGAUGGGCACGGGCUGCGGCUGGCCGGCCACCUUCCUGCAGAGGUAGUGCACGACGAGCUCGUCGUCCGUGGGGUGGAACCGGAAGCCCGGCGGCAGGUUGAGCUCCGCCUCCGCGUCCCUCCGCCCGCUGCUCCCCUCCGCCCCCGCCGCCGCCCCCGUCGGCUCAGCCUUCACCAUUGCCGUCAUCAUCCUCCUCCUCCUCGCGUUCGCUCGCUCGCUCGCUCGCUCCACCACCUUGGAGAAAAGCCCAGCCCUCGCGCGGUGGUGCCGCGGUGUUGGAAGGGAAGAGAAAGGCGGCUGGUUGUGAUACCGCCUCCUGGGACCUGGAGCCCUUCUCUUUAGUCGAUGGCUCGUUUCCUUGGCGACCAAGUACGUUUGUAGGGCGGGGCGCCCGGGGCGGCUAUAUACGGGCCCCCGCCCGCGCCACGUGGGCCGCGGCGGGCCCGCGCGUGCCCCCGAGCUGCUCGUGGCGUGGGCUUGGAUGAGGACGGCCGGCCGUGCGCUGCUGCGCGGAAGUUUCCCGCGGCGACAAGAGUUUGACCCCUCCCGACGGCUGCGCUGAAAGGGACGGAAGGGUCAAAAGCGCGCGGGAGGGAUUUUCCGGCGGGAAAAUAUAUCCCCGCGACCAGCCUCGGCGGCCCGUCGAAUGGCCGCGCGUCUAGGUGCGUCGGCAGGCGCGGGCUGGUCCUCCGUGUUCUCGACCUCUCAUCUGCUGCAUUGCACCACGUGCGAGUUGCGGCGGCCAUGCACUACUAUGUCGUGAUACGUGGAGGAAGGUAUGAGGACAUGAGGUUACGACCCGCGCAUGCGCAUGGCAUGCCUGCAUGCGUGAAGGUUUUCUUUCCAUCGCGCCUUGGAUUUUUCUCCGGGGAAAACUUUUAAAAGUUGAGGGAUCACGCUAAGCUAGAAUGCUACGUGACCCUUCAAAGAUGCCAUUGUUUAGUUUCGGCCUAUAAACGUGGAUACAUGACCACGUCAAGUCCUACUCUCUGUGUAUAGAAGAAAAUAAACGUGGAUGCAAUUUUUUUCUAAAAAUUAAGACAUUAAUCCAGGCGGUCUAUAUUAAUGUCUAUAUUAAACUAUAUUGAAACGAGUAACACAUACACUAAAGCAUGUCUAUGUACAUUUAAUUCAGAAAAAAAGUUACAACAUCUUAUAUUCAUGAACGAAGGAAGUACAUAUGUCAUUUUUUUCUUUUUUUUUGCGGGAAAAACUUUCAAUCUAUUUAUCUUCAAUCAUGGUAAUACAACGAACACUAGAAAUAAUAAAAAUUACAUCAAGGUCCGUAGACCACCUAGCGACGACUACAAGCACUGAAGCGAGCUGAAGGCGCGCCGCUGUCAUCGCCCCUCCCUUGCCGGAGCCGGGCAGACGUUGUUGUAGUAGACAGUCGGGAAGUCGUCAUGCUAAGACCCCAUAGAACCAACGCACCAGAACAGCAAACCGCCGCAGAUGAAGAGUGUAGAUCAAAGGAUCCACCCUAAAGAUACACGAACGAAGACGAACGACGAACAGAUCCGAGCAAAUAUAUCCACCAAAGAUAGAUCUGCCGGAGACACACCUCCAUAGGCCCAUCAAUGAUGCUAGACAACUCACCGGAACGGAGGCUAGGCGGGGAGACCUUUAUUCUAUCUUCAGGGAGCCGCAGCCGUCUCGCUUUCAUGAAUAGGACGCAAACCCUAAUAAAACUCAAAAAAAGAUCUAAAAACGGAGCCCUCUCACCGGCAAAGGCCGAGAUCCACUCCAUCUCCAUGGCCUAAGGCCACCGGAGACGGGGCGGACCGGCGCCGGCGCCGGCGGGAGGCAGAGAACCCUAACUUUUUGAAGGCGGCGGCUGGCUAGGAAGACCGUGGCUCAAUCCUGGACCACUUUUUAUUUCUGCGAAAGGAAAUAAUUCACAACUAAAUGGGAAGUACAUAUGACAUUUCAAUUGCGUCCAACAUGGAUUAUCACCGUCCUACGGGCCAACAUAGUUAAUUCCCAUGUCGGCCACGGAAGGAUAUGCUUGAAACAUUAUCUAUCUUCACAAUUCAUAAUUCUCAAGUCGAUCCACAGAACAGAAGGAUAUGCUUGAAACAUUAUCUAUCUUCACAGUUCAAAAUUCUCAUGCCGAUCCACAGAAGAACAGAAGGAUAUGCUUGGAACAUCACAACAUUUAAACAAUUCAAGUUCCCCAAAAAGGAAAUUUUAAACAAUUCGAGAGGAUAAUGCUCAAGCUUGGCCUGUUCAUACCGAAGCAUACCACAUACUCCUACCUAGUACCGCCAUCUGUUUACCUAGUCAGGGACACCUAGAGAGACAGAGUAGGUCUAUCUCCUCUUGUCUGUAUAGUACAGUAAAAUAAAGAAAUCUGGCCCAAUCUGCACGUGCCUCCCUCCUCCUGGAUGGCCACCUACGUGCACUGAACCUGAACCUCACCCGGGCGCGCCUCCAGCCGCGACGGCGGGGGUGGGGUGGCGAGCAAAUCCUCGACCCGGGCCACCCGGCGGAGGUGCGGUUGGUCGGCCAGCCGUAUGGCAGAUAAAAGAAAAAGGAUAGCGCCUUGUCGGCGGCCGAGGUUUCUCAUUCCCCCGGCGGUGGACUAUGGUAUGAAAUUCCAGCCGAAAAGGACGGACGGGCGGGCAGUUCCGGGGAAAGCGAUGGACUUUUUGUCGUGGUGACAGUGAGCUUACGUUUUCCCAUGGGCCAAAACUGGAUUGGGCUGGGGAUUUUCUUCAGUUUAAUUUACAAGAUUGCUGUGUUGAUUCGCUGUCAGGUUACCGCUCUUGGUAUCGCACAGCUGGUGACUGCCGGGAUUAGCUGUGAUCCGGUGAGUGGCAUGUCGCGUUGCAUACAUCACUGGCCGCGUCUCGGCUAUCGGAAUGACGGGGAGCACUCGAGAUAUUAUUAUCCGCCGAUACUUUGGUGGGCCCUUGAUGGAUUUCUGUGGAAGCUUUGUUUCUGUCCUGUUCCGUAAACUAUUGCGGAGAUUGAAAUUAAGACAUGUGGGAGGAGGUGUGUGGGCAAGUUAACUGCAAUUGGGCAUCGCAGUUGAUUUUACAUGUGGUGUGCUUUUAGAAAAUGAAAACUAAGUUACCACCAGCUUGCCAAACAGGGGAGUAUCCAAACUCCACACCACAGCCAGCAGUGUCGACGUUGGGGCUAUGGAGCCAGUCCUGUCAGCGCCUCAGGCAGCGCCAUAGAUGAUCAGGAAGCAGCGACAACAGGCGAAGACCCCGUUCAUCGUCCGACAAGCAGACGAAGGGCGGCAGAGUUCAAAUCAUCUCGUGGGCCUGCGGCACGGCCCACUCGAGUGAAGACGAAGCCCAUCUGGAACGUCGGCCCGGAAUGGACGUCCUAGUUUAAAUACCCCUUGUAACGUUUGAAUCGAGUUGGCUUGGAUCGGACGGCGGCUUCGGCCGAUUGUAACUAGCUGUAGCAGUGAGGGAGGUUGGGAGGAUAAACACGCUACCGAAUUUCCCCAUUUCGCCAUGAACUCUAGUUUCCUCUCAUAGAUCGAUCGCGACCCUUACACUUGGUAUCAGAUUCGGCGGUCCUGGCGCUUCCCCAACAUCACCACGAGACGCGGUGCACCAGUUCAGCCACGCGCCAUGGAGCCACCUCGUGUAAAUACAGCUCCUCCUCGUUAUGUGUCAACACCUCCGGGUCACUUCUCCAACCCCCUGGAAAACCUCAUCGCGGCAUCGGCUCGUUUGGCGGCUCUCCCAAUGGAAGGCGACUCGCCAGCAGCAAUUGAAACCCGAAGGGUGAGAGAACUGUUGGGGAACGUAGCCGAAAUUCAAAAUUUUCUACGCAUCACCAAGAUCAAUCUAUGGAGAAGUCUACCAACGAGGGAAGGAGAGUGCAUCUACAUACCCUUGUAGAUCGCUACGCGGAAGCGUUCAAGAGAACGGGGUUGAUGGAGUCGUACUCGUCGUGAUCCAAAUCACCGAUGAUCCUAGUGCCGAACGGACGGUACCUCCGUGUUCAACACACGUACAGCCCGGUGACGUCUCACAUGCCUUGAUCCAGCAAGGAGAGAGGGAGAGGUUGAGGAAGACUCCAUCCAGCAGCAGCACAAUGGCGUGGUGGUGGUGGAGGAGCGUGGCACUCUAGCAGGGCUUCGCCAAGCACUGCAAGAGACGAGGAGGGAGAGGGGUAGGGCUGCGCCAAGAAGGAGAGGAACUCGUGUGUGUUGGGCAGCCCAAACCUCAAGUAUAUAUAGGGGAAGGGGAGGGGCUGCGCCCCCACCUAGGGUUCCCUCCCUAGGGGUGGCGGCAGCCCCCAGAUCCCAUCUGGGUGGCGGCCACAAGGGGGAGAGGGGGAGGCGCACCUGGGGUGGGCCUUGGGGCCCAUCUGCCCUAGGGUUUGCCCCCUUUCCCUCUUGGAGGCGCCUUGGGCCUUGGUGGGAGGUGCCCCAGCCCACCUAGGGGCUGGUCCCUUCCCACUAUUGGCCCAUGUAGGCCUCCGGGGCUGGUGGCCCCACUUGGUGGACCCCUGAGACCCUCCCGGUGGUCCCGGUACGUUACCGAUGAACCCCGAAAGUUUUCCGGUGACCAAAAUAGGACUUCCCAUAUAUAAAUCUUUACCUUCGGACCAUUCCGGAACUCCUCGUGAUGUCCGAGAUCUCAUCCGGGACUCCGAACAACAUUCGGUAACCACGUAUAUCUAUUCCCUAUAACCCUAGCGUCAUCGAACCUUAAGUGUGUAGACCCUACGUGUUCGGGAAACAUGCAGACAUGACCGAGACACCUCUUCGGUCAAUAACCAACAGCGGGAUCUGGAUACCCAUGUUGGUUCCCACAUGUUCCACGAUGAUCUCAUCGGAUGAACCACGAUGUCGAGGAUUCGAUCAAUCCCGUAUACAAUUCCCUUUGUCUAGCGGUAUUGUACUUGCCCGAGAUUCGAUCGUCGGUAUCCCAAUACCUUGUUCAAUCUCGUUACCGGCAAGUCUCUUUACUCGUUCCAUAACACAUCAUCCCGUGAUCAACUCCUUGAUCACAUUGUGCACAUUAUGAUGAUGUCCUACCGAGUGGGCCCAGAGAUACCUCUCCGUCACACGGAGUGACAAAUCCCAGUCUCGAUUCGUGCCAACCCAACAGACACUUUCGGAGAUACCUGUAGUGUACCUUUAUAGCCACCCAGUUACGUUGUGACGUUUGGCACACCCAAAGUAUUCCUACGGUAUCCGGAAGUUGCACAAUCUCAUGGUCUAAGGAAAUGAUACUUGACAUUAGAAAAGCUUUAGCAUGCGAACUACAUGAUCUUGUGCUAUGCUUAGGAUUGGGUCUUGUCCAUCACAUCAUUCUCCUAAUGAUGUGAUCCCGUUAUCAAUGACAUCCAAUGUCCAUGGUCAGGAAACCGUAACCAUCCAUUGAUCAACGAGCUAGUCAACUAGAGGCUUACUAGGGACAUGGUGUUGUCUAUGUAUCCACACAUGUAUCUGAGUUUCCUAUCAAUACAAUUCUAGCAUGGAUAAUAAAAGAUUAUCAUGAACAAGGAAAUAUAAUAAUAACUAAUUUAUUAUUGCCUCUAGGGCAUAUUUCCAACAGUCUCCCACUUGCACUAGAGUCAAUAAUCCAGUUCACAUCGAUAUGUGAUUAACACUCAAGGUCACAUCCCCAUGUGACUAACACCCAAAGAGUUCUGGGUUUGAUCAUGUUAUGCUUGUGAGAGAGGUUUCAGUCAAUGGGUCUGCAACAUUCAGAUCCGUAUGUACUUCGCAAAUCUCUAUGUCAUCUUGUAGAUGCAACUACUACGCUACAUUUGGAGCUAUUUCAAAUAACUGUUCUACUUGGAGCUAUUCCAUUAUACGUAUCCGGUAUCUCUACUCAGAGCUAUCCGGAUAGGUGUUAAGCUUGCAUCGACGUAACUCUUUACGUCGAACUCUUUAUCACUUCCAUAACCGAGAAACAUAUCCUUAUUCCUCUAAGGAUAAUUUAGACCGCUACCUGGUGAUCUACUCCUAGAUUACCUUUGUACCCUCUUGCCAGAUAUGUGGCAAGGCACACAUCAGGUGCGGUACUCAGCAUGGCAUACCGUAUAGAGCCUAUGACAAAAGCAUAGGGGACGACCUUCGUCCUUCCUCUUUCUUCUGCCGUGGUCGAGCUUUAAGUCUUAACUUCAUACCUUACAACUCAGGCAAGAACUCCUUCUUUGACUGAUCCAUCUUGAACACCUUCAAGAUCAUGUCAAGGUAUGUCCUCAUUUGAAAGUACCAUUAAGCGUUUUGAUCUAUCCUUAUAGAUCUUGAUGCUCAAUGUUCAAGUAGCUUAAUCCAGGCUUUCCAUUGAAAAACACUUUCCAAAUAACCCUAUAUGCUUUCCAGAAAUUCUACGUCAUUUUUGAUCAACAACAUAUAUUCAUCAGAAAUUCUAUAGUGCUCCCACUCACUUCUUUGGAAAUACAAGUUUCUCAUAAACUUUUUAUACACCCAAAAUCUUUGAUCAUCUCAUCAAAGCAUACAUUCCAACUCCGAGAUGCUUACUCCAGUCCUUAGAAGGAUUGCUAGAGCUUUGCAUACUUAUUAGCAUCUUUCAGGAUUGACAAAACCUUCCAGUUGUAUCACAUACAACCUUUCCUCAAAAAAUCAUCGAGGAAACAAUGUUUGACAUCCUAUCUGCAAGAUUUCAUAAAUAAUGCAGUAAUCUCUAAUAUAAUUCCAAUAGACUCUUAGCAUUGCUACGAGUGAGAAAGUCUCAUCAUAGUCAACUCCUUGAACUUGUCGGAAAAAAUCUUAACGACAAGUCAAGCUUACUUAAUGGUGAUACUUACCAUCAUUGUCCGUCUUCCUUUUAAAAUCCAUCUGUACUCAAUAGCCUUACGACCAUCGAGCCGUUCUGCCAAAGUCUACACUUUGUUUUCAUACAUGGAUCCUCUCUCGGAUUUUAUGGACUCGAGCCAUUUAUCGGAAUCCGGGCCCACCAUCGCUUCUCCAUAGCUCGUAGGUUCAUUGUUGUCUAGCAACAUGACUUUCAAGACAGGAUUACGUACCACUCUGAAGUAGUACGCAUCCUUGUCAUCCUACGAGGUUUGGGAGUGACUUGAUCCAAAGUCUCAUGAUCAAUAUCAUAAGCUUCCACUUCAAUUGGUGUAGGUGCCACAUGAACAACUCUUUGUGCCCUGCUAUACACUAGUUGAAGUGACGGUUCAAUAACCUCAUCAAGUCUCCACCAUCCUCCCACUCAAUUCCUCCGAGAGAAACUUUUCCUCGAGAAAGGACCCGAUUCUAGAAACAAUCCCUUAUUGCUUUCAGAUCUGAGAUAGGAGGUAUACCCAACUGUUUUGGUUGUCCUAUGAAGAUGCAUUUAUCCGCUUUGGGUUCGAGCUUAUCAGCCUGAAACUUUUUCACAUAAGCGUCGCAGCCCCAAACUUUUAAGAAAUGACAGCUUAGGUUUCUCUAAACCAUAGUUCAUACGAUGUCAUCUCAUCGGAAUUACGUGGUGCCCUAUUUAAAGUAAAUGUGGUUGUCUCUAAUGCCUAACCCAUAAACUAUCGUGGUAAUUGGAUAAGAGACAUCAUGGUAUGCAUCAUAUCCAAUAGGGUGCAGUUAUGAUGUUCGGACACACCAUCACACUAUGGUGUUCCAGGCUGUAUUAGUUGUGAAACAAUUUCCACAAUGUCUUAAUUCUGUGCCAAACUCGUAAUUCAGAUAUUCAUCUCUAUGAUCGUAUCAUAGAUGUUUUAUCCUCUUGUCACGACGAUCUUUCAACUUCACCCUGAAAUUACUUGAACCUUUCAAUAAUUCAGACUCAUGAUUCAUCAAGUAAAUAUACUCAACAUCUACUCAAAUCAUCUGUGAAGUAAGAACAUAACGAUAUCCACUACAUGCCUCAGCACUCAUUGGACCGCACACAUCAAAAUGUAUUACUUCCAACAAGUUGCUUUCUAGUUCCAUUUUACUGAAAACGAGGCUUUCAGUCAUCUUGCCCAUGUGGUAUGAUUUGCAUGUCUCAAGUGAUUCAAAAUCAAGUGAGUCCAAAUGGUCCAUUUGCAUGGAGUUUCUUCAUGCAUAUACACCAAUAGACAUGGUUCGCAUGUCUCAAACUUUUCAAAACGAGUGAGCCCAAAGAUCCAUCAACAUGGAGCUUCUUCAUGCGUUUCAUACCGAUAUGACUCAAAUUGCAGUGCUACAUUUGUGUGGUACUAUCAUUACUAUCUUAUACCUUUGGCAUGAAAAUGUGUAUCACUACGAUUGGGAUGGUAUUAUUCAAAUAAACAGAGUAACCAUUAUUCUCGUUAAAUGAAUAACCGUAUCGCGAUAGACAUAAUCCAAUCAUGUCUAUGCUCAACGCAAACACCAAAUAACAAUUAUUUAGGUUUUAAUACCAAUCUCGAUGGUAGAGGGAGCGUACGAUAUUUGAUCAACCUUGGAAAUACUUCCAACACAUAUCGUCAUCUCACCUUUUAGCUAGUCUCUGUUUAUUCUGUAGCCUUUUGUUUCGAGUUACUAACACUUAGCAACCGAACCGGUAUCUAAUACCCUGGUGCUACUAGGAGUACUAGUAAAGUACACAUCAACACAAUGUAUAUCCAAUAUACUUCUAUCGACAUUGCCAGCCUUCUUAUCUACCAAGUAUCUAGGGUAAUUCUGCUCCAGUGGCUGUUCCCCUUAUUACAGAAGCACUUAGUCUAGGGUUUGGGUUCAACCUUGGGUUUCUUCACUAGAGCAGCAGCUGAUUUGCCGUUUCAUGAAGUAUCCCCUUUUGCCCUUGCCCUUCUUGAAACUAGUGGUUUCACCAACCAUCAACAAUUGAUGCUCCUUCUUGAUUUCUACUUUUGUGGUGUCAAACAUCGCGAAUAUCUCAAGGAUCAUCAUAUAUGUCCCUGAUAUAUUAUAGUUCAUCACGAAGCUCUAGCAGCUUGGUGGUAAUGACUUCAGAGAAACAUCACUAUCUCAUCUGGAAGAUCAACUCCCACUCGAUUCAAAUGAUUGUUGUACUCAGACAAUCUGAGCACAAGCUCAACAAUUGAGCUUUUCUCCCUUAGUUUGCAGGCUAAGAAAAUCGUCGGAGGUCUUAUACCUCUUGACGUGGGCAUGAGCCUGAAAUCCCAAUUUCAGCCCUCGAAACAUCUCAUAUGUUUCACGACGUUUUAAAACAUCUUCGGUGCCUCAACUCUAAACCGUUUAACUGAACUAUCACGCAAUUACCAAAAUGUGUAUGUCAGAUGUUCGCAACAUCCACAGACGACGUUCGAGGUUCAGCACACUGAGUGGUGCAUUAAGGACAUAAGCCUUCUACUGUCUGCAUAAUCGCUACUAUCAACUUUCAACUAAUUUUCUGUAAGAACAUAUCUAAACAGCAGAACUAAAGCGCGAGCUAUGACAUAAUUUGCGAAGACCUUUUGACUAUGUUCAGGAUAAUUAAGUUCAUCUUAUGAACUCCCACUCAGAUAGACAUCCCUCUAGUCAUCUAAGUGAUCACAUGAUCCGAGUCAACUAGGCCGUGUCCGAUCAUCACGUGAGACGGACCAGUCAUCAUCGGUGAACAUCUUCAUGUUGAUCGUAUCUACCAUACGACUCAUGCUCGACCUUUCUGAUGGGGAACGUUGCAGAAAACAAAAUUUUCCUACGGUUUCACCAAGAUCCAUCUAGGAGUUCAUCUAGCAACGAGUGAUCGGAUUGCAUCUACAUACCUUUGUAGAUCACGCGCGGAAGCGUUCAAAGAACGGGGAUGAGGAAGGCGUACUCGACGUGAUCCAAAUCACCGGAGAUCCUAGCGCCGAAUGGACGGCACCUCCGCGUUCAACACACGUACGGUCAGCGUAACGUCUCCUUCUUCUUGAUCCAGCAAGGGGGAAAGAGAGGUUGAGGAAGAUGGCUCCAGCAGCAGCACAACGGCGUGGUGGUGAUAGAGCUGCAGUACUCCAGCAGGGCUUCGCCAAGCACUAUGGAGGAGGAGGAGGUGUUGGAGAGGGAGAGGGAGGCACCAAAGGCAAGGGUGAGAGGUCCUCCCUUCCCCCCACUAUAUAUAGGGGGCCUAGGGGGGGCGCCGGCCCUAGGAGAUCCAAUCUCCUAGGGGGGCGGCGGCCAAGGGAGGAAUCCCUCCUCCCCAAGGCACCUAGGAGGUGCCUUCCCCUUCUAGGACUCUUCCUUUAGGGUUUCCCCCACCCUAGGCGCAUGGGCCCUAGGGGGAAGUGGCGCCCCAGCCCACUUUGGGCUGGAUCCCUUCCCACUUCAGCCCAUGGGGCCCUCCGGGAUAGGUGGCCCCACCUGGUGGACCCCCGGGACCCUUCCGGUGGUCCCGGUACAAUACCGGUGACCCCGAAACUUGUCCCGAUGGCCGAAAUAGCACUUCCUAUAUAUAAUUCUUUACCUUCGGACCAUUCCGGAACUCCUCAUGAUGUCCGGGAUCUCAUCCGGGACUCCGAACAACAUUCGGGUUACUGCAUAUACAUAUCCCUACGACCCUAGCGUCACCGAACCUUAAGUGUGUAGACCCUACGGGUUCGGGAGACAUGUAGACAUGACCGAGAUUGCUCUCCGGUCAAUAACCAACAGCAGGAUCUGGAUACCCAUGUUGGCUCCUACAUGCUCCUCGAUGAUCUCAUCAUAUGAACCACGAUGUCGAGGAUUCAAGCAACCCCGUAUACAAUUCCCUUUGUCAAUCGGUAUGUUACUUGCCCGAGAUCUGAUCGUCGGUAUCCCAAUACCUCGUUCAAUCUCGUUACCGGCAAGUCACUUUACUCGUACCGUAAUGCAUGAUCCCGUGACCAGACACUUGGUCACUUUGAGCUCAUUAUGAUGAUGCAUUACCGAGUGGGCCCAGUGAUACCUCUUCGUCAUACGGAGUGACAAAUCCCAGUCUUGAUCUGUGUCAACCCAACAGACACUUUCGGAGAUACCCGUAGCAUACCUUUAUAGUCACCCAGUUACGUUGUGACAUUUGGUAUACCCAAAGCACUCCUACGGUAUCUGGGAGUUACACGAUCUCACGGUCUAAGGAAAGGAUACUUGACAUUGGAAAACUCUAGCAAACGAACUAUACGAUCUUGUGCUAUGUUUAGGAUUGGGUCUUGUCCAUCACAUCAUUCUCCUAAUGAUGUGAUCUCGUUAUCAAUGACAUCCAAUGUCCAUAGUCAGGAAACCAUGACUAUCCGUUGAUCAACGAGAUAGUCAACUAGAGGCUUACUAGGGACAUGUUGGUGUCUAUUAUUCACACAUGUAUUGCGAUUUCCGGAUAAUACAAUUAUAGCAUGAAUAAAGACAAUUAUCAUGAACAAGGAAAUAUAAUAAUAAUGAUUUUAUUAUUGCCUCUAGGGCAUAUUUCCAACAGUCUCCCACUUGCACUAGAGUCAAUAAUCUAGUUACAUUGUGAUGAAUCGAACACCCAAGGAAUUCUGGUGUUGAUCAUGUUUUGCUCUAGGGAGAGGUUUAGUCAACGGAUCUGCUACAUUCAGGUCCGUAUGUACUUUACAAAUAUCUAUGUCUCCAUCUUGAACAUUUUCACGAAUGGAGUUGAAGCGACGCUUGAUGUGCCUUGUCUUCUUGUGAAACCUGGGCUCCUUGGCAAGUGCAAUAGCUCCAGUGUUGUCACAAAAGAGCUUGAUCGGCCCCGACGCAUUGGGUAUUACUCCUAGGUCGGUGGUGAACUCCUUCACCCAAAUUUCUUCAUGCGCUGCCUCCGAGGCUGCCAUGUACUCCGCUUCACAUGUAGAUCCUGCCACGACGCUUUGCUUGCAACUGCACCAGCUUACUGCCCCACCAUUCAAAAUAUACACGUAUCCGGUUUGUGACUUAGAGUCAUCCAGAUCUGUGUCGAAGCUAGCGUUGACGUAACCUUUUACGACGAUCUCUUCAUCACCUCCAUAAAUGAGAAAUAUUUCCUUAGUCCUUUUCAGGUACUUCAGGAUAUUCUUGACCGCUAUCCAGUGUUCCUUGCCGGGAUUACUUUGGUACCUUCCUACCAAACUUACGGCAAGGUUUACAUCAGGUCUGGUACACAGCAUGGCAUACAUAAUAGAACCUAUGGCUGAGGCAUAGGGGAUGACACUCAUCUCUUCUAUAUCUUCUGCCGUGGUCGGACAUUGAGCUGAGCUCAAUUUCACACCUUGUAACACAGGCAAGAACCCCUUCUUAGACUGAUCCAUAUUGAAUUUCUUCAAUAUCUUAUCAAGGUAUGUGCUUUGUGAAAGACCUAUGAGGCGUCUUGAUCUAUCUCUAUAGAUCUUGAUGCCUAAUAUAUAUGCAGCUUCUCCAAGGUCCUUCAUUGAAAAACUCUUAUUCAAGUAGGCCUUAAUGUUGUCCAAGAGUUCUAUAUCAUUUCCCAUCAAAAGUAUGUCAUCUACAUAUAAUAUGAGAAAUGCUACAGAGCUCCCACUCACUUUCUUGUAAACACAGGCUUCUCCAUAAGUCUGCGUAAACCCAAACGCUUUGAUCAUCUCAUCAAAGCGAAUGUUCCAACUCCGAGAUGCUUGCACCAGCCCAUAAAUCGAGCGUUGGAGCUUGCAUACCUUGUCAGCAUUCUUAGGAUCGACAAAACCUUCCGGCUGCAUCAUAUACAAUUCUUCCUUAAGGAAACCAUUAAGGAAUGCCGUUUUGACGUCCAUUUGCCAUAUCUCAUAAUCAUAGAAUGCGACAAUUGCUAACAUGAUUCAGACGGACUUUAGCUUCGCUACCAGUGAGAAAGUCUCAUCGUAGUCAACCCCUUGAACUUGUCGAUAACCCUUAGCGACAAGCCGAGCUUUAUAGAUGGUCACAUUACCAUCCGCGUCUGUCUUCUUCUUAAAGAUCCAUUUAUUUUCUAUGGCUCGCCGCUCAACAGGCAAGUCAGUCAAAGUCCAUACUUCGUUUUCAUACAUGGAUCCUAUCUCAGAUUUCAUGGCUUCUAGCCAUUUGUCGGAAUCCGGGCCCGCCAUCGCUUCUUCAUAGUUUGAAGGUUCACCGUUGUCUAACAACAUGAUUUCCAAGACAGGGUUGCCGUACCACUCUGGUGCGGAACGUGUCCUUGUGGACCUACGAAGUUCAGUAGCAACUUGAUCUGAAGUUUCAUGAUCAUCAUCAUUAACUUCCUCUCUAGUCAGUGCAGGCACCUCAGGAACAUUUUCUUGAGUUGCGCCAUUUUCCGGUUCAAGAGGUAAUACUUCAUCAAGUUCUACUUUCCUCCCACUUACUUCUUUCGAGAGAAACUCUUUCUCUAGAAAGGAUCCAUUCUUGGCAACAAAGAUCUUGCCUUCAGAUCUGAGGUAGAAGGUAUACCCAAUAGUUUCUUUAGGGUAUCCUAUGAAGACACAUUUUUCUGACUUGGGUUCGAGCUUUUCAGGUUGAAGUUUCCUGACAUAAGCAUCGCAUCCCCAAACUUUCAGAAACGACAGCUUAGGUUUCUUCCCAAACCAUAAUUCAUACGGUGUCGUCUCAACGGAUUUCGAUGGAGCCCUAUUUAAAGUGAAUGCGACAGUCUCUAAAGCAUAGCCCCAAAAAGAUAGCGGUAAAUCGGCAAGAGACAUCAUAGAUCGCACCAUAUCUAAUAGAGUGCGAUUACGAUGUUCGGACACACCAUUACGCCGAGGUGUUCCAGGCGACGUGAGUUGUGAAACUAUUCCACAUUUUCUUAAGUGUGUGCCAAACUCGUGACUCAAGUAUUCUCCUCCACGAUCUGAUCGCAGGAACUUGAUUUUCCUGUCACGUUGAUUCUCAACCUCACUCUGAAAUUCUUUGAACUUUUCAAAGGUCUUAGACUUGUGUUUCAUUAAAUAGACAUACCCAUAUCUACUCAAUUCAUCAGUGAGGGUGAGAACAUAACGAUAGCCACCGCGAGCCUCAACACUCAUUGGACCGCACACAUCAGUAUGUAUGAUUUCCAAUAAGUUGGUUGCUUGCUCCAUUGUUCCUGAGAACGGAGUCUUGGUCAUUUUACCCAUGAGGCAUGGUUCGCACGUGUCAAAUGAUUCGUAAUCAAGAGACUCUAAAAGUCCAUCAGCAUGGAGCUUCUUCAUGCGUUUGACACCUAUGUGACCAAGGCGGCAGUGCCACAAGUAUGUGGGACUAUCAUUAUCAAUCUUACAUCUCUUGGUACUCACACUAUGAAUAUGUGUAGCAUUACGCUCGAGAUUCAUUAAGAAUAAACCAUUCACCAUCGGAGCAUGACCAUAAAACAUAUCUCUCAUAUAAAUAGAACAACCAUUAUUCUCGGAUUUAAAUGAGUAGCCAUCUCGUAUUAAAUGAGAUCCUGAUACAAUGUUCAUGCUCAAAGCUGGUACUAAAUAAAAAUUAUUGAGGUUUAAAACUAAUCCCGUAGGUAAAUGAAGAGGCAGCGUCCCGACGGCGAUCACAUCGACCUUGGAACCAUUCCCGACGCGCAUCGUCACCUCGUCCUUCGCUAGUCUCCGCUUAUUCCGCAGCUCCUGCUUUGAGUUACAAAUGUGAGCAACUGCACCGGUAUCAAAUACCCAGGAGCUACUACGAGUACUGGUAAGGUACACAUCAAUAACAUGUAUAUCAGAUAUACCUUUCGUUUUGCCGGCCUUCUUGUCUGCUAAGUAUUUGGGGCAGUUCCGCUUCCAGUGACCACUUUCCUUGCAAUAAAAGCACUCAGUCUCGGGCUUGGGUCCAUUCUUUGGCUUCUUCCCGGCAGCUUGCUUGCCGGGCGCGGCAACUCCCUUGCCAUCCUUCUUGAAAGCUUUCUUUUCCUUGCCCUUCUUGAACUUAGUGGUUUUAUUCACCAUCAACACUUGAUGUUCCUUUUUGACUUCUACCUCUGCUGAUUUCAGCAUUGCAAAUACUUCAGGAAUGGUCUUUUCCAUCCCCUGCAUAUUGAAGUUCAUCACAAAGCUCUUGUAGCUCGGUGGAAGCAACUGAAGGAUUCUGUCAAUGACUGCGUCAUCCGGGAGAUUAACUCCCAGCUGAGCCAAGCGGUUAUGUAACCCAGACAUAGUGAGUAUGUGCUCACUGACAGAACUGUUUUCCUCCAUCUUACAGCUGAAGAACUUGUCGGAGACUUGAUAUCUCUCGACCCGGGCAUGAGCUUGGAAAACCAUUUUCAGCUCUUCGAACAUCUCAUAUGCUCCGUGUCUCUCAAAACGCUUUUGGAGGCCCGGCUCUAAGCUGUAAAGCAUGCCGCACUGAACGAGGGAGUAGUCAUCGGUACGUGCCUGCCAAGCGUUCAUAACGUCUUGUUCUGCAGGGAGAACAGGUGCGUCACCUAGCGGUGCUUAUAGGACAUAAUCUUUCUUGGCAGCUAUGAGGAUGAUCCUCAGGUUCCGGACCCAGUCCGUGUAGUUGCUGCCAUCGUCUUUCAGCUUGGUUUUCUCUAGGAACGCAUUGAAGUUGAGGACUACGUUGGCCAUUUGAUCUACAAGACAUAUUGUAAAAUAUUUAGACUAAGUUCAUGAUAAUUAAGUUCAUCUAAUCAAAUUAUUCAAUGAACUCCCACUUAGAUAGACAUCCCUCCUGUAAUCUAAGUAUAACAUGAUCCGAGUUAACUAGGCCGUGUCCGAUCAUCACGUGAGAUGGACUAGUCAACAUCGGUGAACAUCUUCAUGUUGAUCGUAUCUUCUAUACGACUCAUGCUCGACCUUUCGGUCUUCUGUGUUCUGAGGCCAUGUCUGUACAUGCUAGGCUCGUCAAGUCAACCUAAGUGUUUGCAUGUGUAAAUCUGUCUUACACCCGUUGUAUGUGAACAUUAGAAUCUAUCACACCCGAUCAUAACGUGGUGCUUCGAAACAACGAACUGUCGCAACGGUGCACAGUUAGGGGGAACACUUUCUUGAAAUUAUUAUGAGGGAUCAUCUUAUUUACUACCGUCGUUCUAAGUAAACAAGAUGCAAAAACAUGAUAAACAUCACAUGCAAUCAAAUAAUAAUAGUGACAUGAUAUGGCCAAUAUCACAUAGCUCCUUUGAUCUCCAUCUUAGGGCUCCAUGAUCAUAUUGUCACCGGCAUGACACCAUGAUCUCCAUCAUCAUGAUCUCCAUCAUCGUGUCUCCAUGAAGUUUCUCGCCAACUAUUACUUCUACUACUAUGGCUAACACGUUUAGCAAUAAAGUAAAGUAAUUUACAUGGCGUUUCUCAAUGACACGCAGGUCAUACAAAAAAUAAAGACAACUCCUAUGGCUCCUGCCGGUUGUCAUACUCAUCGACAUGCAAGUCGUGAUUCCUAUUACAAUAGCAUGAACAUCUCAUACAUCACAUAUAUAUCAUUCAUCAUUCAUCACAACUUUGGCCAUAUCAUAUCACAAAGCACUUGCUGCAAAAACAAGUUAGACGUCCUCUAAUUGUUGUUGCAUGUUUUACGUGGCUGAAGUAGGGUUCUAGCAAGAACGUUUUCUUACCUACAUGAAAGCCACAACAUGAUUUGUCAACUUCUAUUUACCCUUCAUAAGGACCCUUUUCAUCGAAUCCGCUCCAACUAAAGUGGGAGAGACAGACACCCGCCAGCCACCUUAUGCAACUAGUGCAUGUUAGUCGGUGGAACCGGUCUCACGUAAGCGUACGUGUAAGGUUGGUCCGGGCCGCUUCAUCCCACAAUACCGUUGAAGCAAGAUAAGACUAGUAGCAGCAAGAAAGUUGACAACAUCAACGCCCACAACAAAUUGUGUUCUACUCGUGCAAGAGAACUACGCAUAGACCUAGCUCAUGAUGCCACUGAUGGGGAACGUUGCAGAAAACAAAAUUUUCCUACGGUUUCACCAAGAUCCAUCUAGGAGUUCAUCUAGCAACGAGUGAUCGGAUUGCAUCUACAUACCUUUGUAGAUCACGCGCGGAAGCGUUCAAAGAACGGGGAUGAGGAAGGCGUACUCGACAUGAUCCAAAUCACCGGAGAUCCUAGCGCCGAACGGAUGGCACCUCCGCGUUCAACACAUGUACGGUCAGCGUAACGUCUCCUUCUUCUUGAUCCAGCAAGGGGGAAAGAGAGGUUGAGGAAGAUGGCUCCAGCAGCAGCACGACGGCGUGGUGGUGAUGGAGCUGCAGUACUCCGGCAGGGCUUCACCAAGCACUAUGGAGGAGGAGGAGGUGUUGGAGAGGGAGAGGGAGGCACCAAAGGCAAGGGUGAGAGGUCCUCCCUUCCCCCCACUAUAUAUAGGGGGCCUAGGGGGGGGGGCGCCAGCCCUAGGAGAUCCAAUCUCCUAGGGGGGCGGCGGCCAAGGGAGGAAUCCCUCCUCCCCAUGGCACAUAGGAGGUGCCUUCCCCUUCUAGGACUCUUCCUUUAGGGUUUCCCCCACCCUAGGCACAUGGGCCCUAGGGGGAAGUGGCGCCACAGCCCACUUUGGGUUGGAUCCCUUCCCACUUCAGCCCAUGGGGCCCUCCGGGAUAGGUGGCCCCACCCGGUGGACCCCCGGGACCCUUCCGGUGGUCCCGGUACAAUACCGGUGACCCCGAAACUUGUCCCGAUGGCCGAAAUAGCACUUCCUAUAUAUAAUUCUUUACCUCCGGACCAUUCCGGAACUCCUCGUGACGUCCGGGAUCUCAUCCGGGACUCCGAACAACAUUCGGGUUACUGCAUAUACAUAUCCCUACAACCCUAGCGUCACCGAACCUUAAGUGUGUAGACCCUACGGGUUCGGGAGACAUGUAGACAUGACCGAGAUUGCUCUCCGGUCAAUAACCAACAGCGGGAUCUGGAUACCCAUGUUGGCUCCCACAUGCUCCUCGAUGAUCUCAUCGGAUGAACCACGAUGUCGAGGAUUCAAGCAACCCCGUAUACAAUUCCCUUUGUCAAUCGGUAUGUUACUUGCCCGAGAUCUGAUCGUCGGUAUCCCAAUACCUCGUUCAAUCUCGUUACCGGCAAGUCACUUUACUCAUACCAUAAUGCAUGAUCCCGUGACCAGACACUUGGUCACUUUGAGCUCAUUAUGAUGAUGCAUUACCGAGUGGGCCCAGUGAUACCUCUCCGUCAUACGGAGUGACAAAUCCCAGUCUUGAUCCGUGUCAACCCAAUAGACACUUUCGAAGAUACCCGUAGUAUACCUUUAUAGUGACCCAGUUACGUUGUGACGUUUGGUAUACCCAAAGCACUCCUACGGUAUCCGGGAGUUACACGAUCUCAUGGUCUAAGGAAAGGAUACUUGACAUUGGAAAACUCUAGCAAACGAACUAUACGAUCUUGUGCUAUGUUUAGGAUUGGGUCUUGUCCAUCACAUCAUUCUCCUAAUGAUGUGAUCUCGUUAUCAAUGACAUCCAAUGUCCAUAGUCAGGAAACCAUGACUAUCCGUUGAUCAACGAGCUAGUCAACUAGAGGCUUACUAGGGACAUGUUGGUGUCUAUUAUUCACACAUGUAUUACGAUUUCCGGAUAAUACAAUUAUAGCAUGAAUAAAGACAAUUAUCAUGAACAAGGAAAUAUAAUAAUAAUGAUUUUAUUAUUGCCUCUAGGGCAUAUUUCCAACAGUCUCCCACUUGCACUAGAGUCAAUAAUCUAGUUACAUUGUGAUGAAUCGAACACCCAUGGAAUUCUGGUGUUGAUCAUGUUUUGCUCUAGGGAGAGGUUUAGUCAACGAAUCUGCUACAUUCAGGUCCAUAUGUACUUUACAAAUAUCUAUGUCUCCAUCUUGAACAUUUUCACGAAUGGAGUUGAAGCGACGCUUGAUGUGCCUUGUCUUCUUGUGAAACCUGGGCUCCUUGGCAAGUGCAAUAGCUCCAGUGUUGUCACAGAAGAGCUUGAUCGGCCCCGACGCAUUGGGCAUGACUCCUAGGUCGGUGGUGAACUCCUUCACCCAAAUUGCUUCAUGCGCUGCCUCCGAGGCUGCCAUGUACUCCGCUUCACAUGUAGAUCCUGCCACUUCGCUUUGCUUGCAACUGCACCAGCUUACUGCCCCACCAUUCAAAAUAUACACGUAUCCGGUUUGUGACUUAGAGUCAUCCAGAUCUGUGUCGAAGCUAGCGUCGACGUAACCUUUUACGACAAGCUCUUCAUCACCUCCAUAAAUGAGAAAUAUUUCCUUAGUCCUUUUCAGGUACUUCAGGAUAUUCUUGACCGCUAUCCAGUGUUCCUUGCCGGGAUUACUUUGGUACCUUCCUACCAAACUUACGGCAAGGUUUACAUCAGGUCUGGUACACAGCAUGGCAUACAUAAUAGAACCUAUGGCUGAGGCAUAGGGGAUGACACUCAUCUCUUCUAUAUCUUCUGCCGUGGUCGGACAUUGAGCUGAGCUCAAUUUCACACCUUGUAACACAGCCAAGAACCCCUUCUUAGACUGAUCCAUAUUGAAUUUCUUCAAUAUCUUAUCAAGGUAUGUGCUUUGUGAAAGACCUAUGAGGCGUCUUGAUCUAUCUCUAUAGAUCUUGAUGCCUAAUAUAUAUGCAGCUUCUCCAAGGUCCUUCAUUGAAAAACUCUUAUUCAAGUAGGCCUUAAUGUUGUCCAAGAGUUCUAUAUCAUUUCCCAUCAAAAGUAUGUCAUCUACAUAUAAUAUGAGAAAUGCUACAGAGCUCCCACUCACUUUCUUGUAAACACAGGCUUCUCCAUAAGUCUGCGUAAACCCAAACGCUUUGAUCAUCUCAUCAAAGCGAAUGUUCCAACUCCGAGAUGCUUGCACCAGCCCAUAAAUCGAGCGUUGGAGCUUGCGUACCUUGUCAGCAUUCUUAGGAUCGACAAAACCUUCCGGCUGCAUCAUAUACAAUUCUUCCUUAAGAAAACCAUUAAGGAAUGCCGUUUUGAUGUCCAUUUGCCAUAUCUCAUAAUCAUAGAAUGCGACAAUUGCUAACAUGAUUUGGACGGACUUUAGCUUCGCUACCGGUGAGAAAGUCUCAUCGUAGUCAACCCCUUGAACUUGUCGAUAACCCUUAGCGACAAGCCGAGCUUUAUAUAUGGUCACAUUACCAUCCGCGUCUGUCUUCUUCUUAAAGAUCCAUUUAUUUUCUAUGGCUCGCCGCUCAACAGGCAAGUCAGUCAAAGUCCAUACUUCGUUUUCAUACAUGGAUCCUAUCUCAGAUUUCAUGGCUUCUAGCCAUUUGUCGGAAUCCGGGCCCGCCAUCGCUUCUUCAUAGUUUGAAGGUUCACCGUUGUCUAACAACAUGAUUUCCAAGACAGGGUUGCCGUACCACUCUGGUGCGGAACAUGUCCUUGUGGACCUACGAAGUUCAGUAGCAACUUGAUCUGAAGUUUCAUGAUCAUCAUCAUUAACUUCCUCUCUAGUCGGUGCAGGCACCUUAGGAACAUUUUCUUGAGUUGCGCCAUUUUCCGGUUCAAGAGGUAAUACUUCAUCAAGUUCUACUUUCCUCCCACUUACUUCUUUCGAGAGAAUCUCUUUCUCUAGAAAGGAUCCAUUCUUGGCAACAAAGAUCUUGCCUUCGGAUCUGAGGUAGAAGGUAUACCCAAUAGUUUAUUUAGGGUAUCCUAUGAAGACGCAUUUUUCCGACUUGGGUUCGAGCUUUUCAGGUUGAAGUUUCCUGACAUAAGCAUCGCAUCCCCAAACUUUCAGAAAUGACAGCUUAGGUUUCUUCCCAAACCAUAAUUCAUACGGUGUCGUCUCAACGGAUUUCGAUGGAGCCCUAUUUAAAGUGAAUGCGGCAGUCUCUAAAGCAUAGCCCCAAAAAGAUAGCGGUAAAUCGGCAAGAGACAUCAUAGAUCGCACCAUAUCUAAUAGAGUGCGAUUACGACGUUCGGACACACCAUUACGCCGAGGUGUUCCAGGCGGCGUGAGUUGUGAAACUAUUCCACAUUUUCUUAAGUGUGUGCCAAACUCGUGACUCAAGUAUUCUCCUCCACGAUCUGAUCGCAGGAACUUGAUUUUCUUGUCACGUUGAUUGUCAACCUCACUCUGAAAUUCUUUGAACUUUUCAAAGGUCUCAGACUUGUGUUUCAUUAAGUAGACAUACCCAUAUCUACUCAAGUCAUCAGUGAGGGUGAGAACAUAACGAUAGCCACCGCGAGCCUCAACACUCAUUGGACCGCACACAUCAGUAUGUAUGAUUUCCAAUAAGUUGGUUGCUUGCUCCAUUGUUCCUGAGAAUGGAGUCUUGGUCAUUUUACCCAUGAGGCAUGGUUCGCACGUGUCAAAUGAUUCAUAAUCAAGAGACUCUAAAAGUCCAUCAGCAUGGAGCUUCUUCAUGCGUUUGACACCUAUGUGACCAAGGCGGCAGUGCCACAAGUAUGUGGGACUAUCAUUAUCAAUCUUACAUCUCUUGGUACUCACACUAUGAAUAUGUGUAGCAUUACGCUCGAGAUUCAUUAAGAAUAAACCAUUCACCAUCGGAGCAUGACCAUAAAACAUAUCUCUCAUAUAAAUAGAACAACCAUUAUUCUCGGAUUUAAAUGAGUAGCCAUCUCGUAUUAAACGAGAUCCUGAUACAAUGUUCAUGCUCAAAGCUGGUACUAAAUAACAAUUAUUGAGGUUUAAAACUAAUCCCGUAGGUAAAUGAAGAGGCAGCGUCCCGACGGCGAUCACAUCGACCUUGGAACCUUUCCCGACGUGCAUCGUCACCUCGUCCUUCGCUAGUCUCCGCUUAUUCCGCAGCUCCUGCUUUGAGUUACAAAUGUGAGCAACUGCACCGGUAUCAAAUACCCAGGAGCUACUACGAGUACUGGUAAGGUACACAUCAAUAACAUGUAUAUCACAUAUACCUUUCGUUUUGCCGGCCUUCUUGUCUGCUAAGUAUUUGGGGCAGUUCCGCUUCCAGUGACCACUUUCCUUGCAAUAAAAGCACUCAGUCUCGUGCUUGGGUCCAUUCUUUGGCUUCUUCCCGGCAGCUUGCUUGCCGGGCGCGGCAACUCCCUUGCCAUCCUUCUUGAAAGCUUUCUUUUCCUUGCCCUUCUUGAACUUAGUGGUUUUAUUCACCAUCAACACUUGAUGUUCCUUUUUGACUUCUACCUCUGCUUAUUCCAGCAUUGCAAAUACUUCAGGAAUGGUCUUUUCCAUCCCCUGCAUAUUGAAGUUCAUCACAAAGCUCUUGUAGCUCGGUGGAAGCGACUGAAGGAUUCUGUCAAUGACUGCGUCAUCCGGGAGAUUAACUCCCAGCUGAGCCAAGCGGUUAUGUAACCCAGACAUAGUGAGUAUGUGCUCACUGACAGAACUGUUUUCCUCCAUCUUACAGCUGAAGAACUUGUCGGAGACUUGAUAUCUCUCGACCCGGGCAUGAGCUUGGAAAACCAUUUUCAGCUCUUCGAACAUCUCAUAUGCUCCGUGUCUCUCAAAACGCUUUUGGAGGCCCGGCUCUAAGCUGUAAAGCAUGCCGCACUGAACGAGGGAGUAGUCAUCGGUACGUGCCUGCCAAGCGUUCAUAACGUCUUGUUCUGCAGGGAGAACAGGUGCGUCACCUAGCGGUGCUUGUAGGACAUAAUCUUUCUUGGCAGCUAUGAGGAUGAUCCUUAGGUUCUGGACCCAGUCCGUGUAGUUGCUGCCAUCGUCUUUCAGCUUGGUUUUCUCUAGGAACGCGUUGAAGUUGAGGACUACGUUGGCCAUUUGAUCUACAAGACAUAUUGUAAAAUAUUUAGACUAAGUUCAUGAUAAUUAAGUUCAUCUAAUCAAAUUAUUCAAUGAACUCCCACUUAGAUAGACAUCCCUCCUGUAAUCUAAGUAUAACAUGAUCCGAGUUAACUAGGCCGUGUCCGAUCAUCACGUGAGACGGACUAGUCAACAUCGAUGAACAUCUUCAUGUUGAUCGUAUCUUCUAUACGACUCAUGCUCGACCUUUCGGUCUUCUGUGUUCCGAGGCCAUGUCUGUACAUGCUAGGCUCGUCAAGUCAACCUAAGUGUUUGCAUGUGUAAAUCUGUCUUACACCCGUUGUAUGUGAACGUUAGAAUCUAUCACACCCGAUCAUCACGUGGUGCUUCGAAACAACGAACUGUCGCAACGGUGCACAGUUAGGGGGAACACUUUCUUGAAAUUAUUAUGAGGGAUCAUCUUAUUUACUACCGUCGUUCUAAGUAAACAAGAUGCAAAAACAUGAUAAACAUCACAUGCAAUCAAAUAAUAAUAGUGACAUGAUAUGGCCAAUAUCACAUAGCUCCUUUGAUCUCCAUCUUAGGGCUCCAUGAUCAUCUUGUCACCGGCAUGACACCAUGAUCUCCAUCAUCAUGAUCUCCAUCAUCGUGUCUCCAUGAAGUUGCUCGCCAACUAUUACUUCUACUACUAUGGCUAACACGUUUAGCAAUAAAGUAAAGUAAUUUACAUGGCGUUUCUCAAUGACAUGCAGGUCAUACAAAAAAUAAAGACAACUCCUAUGGCUCCUGCCGGUUGUCAUACUCAUCGACAUGCAAGUCGUGAUUCCUAUUACAAUAGCAUGAACAUCUCAUACAUCACAUAUAUAUCAUUCAUCAUUCAUCACAACUUUGGCCAUAUCAUAUCACAAAGCACUUGCUGCAAAAACAAGUUAGACGUCCUCUAAUUGUUGUUGCAUGUUUUACGUGGCUGAAGUAGGGUUCUAGCAAGAACGUUUUCUUACCUACGUGAAAGCCACAACAUGAUUUGUCAACUUCUAUUUACUCUUCAUAAGGACCCUUUUCAUCGAAUCCGCUCCAACUAAAGUGGGAGAGACAGACACCCGCCAGCCACCUUAUGCAACUAGUGCAUGUUAGUCGGUGGAACCGGUCUCACGUAAGCGUACGUGUAAGGUUGGUCCGGGCCGCUUCAUCCCACAAUACCGUUGAAGCAAGAUAAGACUAGUAGCAACAAGAAAGUUGACAACAUCAACGCCCACAACAAAUUGUGUUCUACUCAUGCAAGAGAACUACGCAUAGACCUAGCUCAUGAUGCCACUGAUGGGGAACGUUGCAGAAAACAAAAUUUUCCUACGGUUUCACCAAGAUCCAUCUAGGAGUUCAUCUAGCAACGAGUGAUCGGAUUGCAUCUACAUACCUUUGUAGAUCACGCGCGGAAGCAUUCAAAGAACGGGGAUGAGGAAGGCGUACUCGACGUGAUCCAAAUCACCGGAGAUCCUAGCGCCGAACGGACGGCACCUCCGUGUUCAACACACGUACGGUCAGCAUAACGUCUCCUUCUUCUUGAUCCAGCAAGGGGGAAAGAGAGGUUGAGGAAGAUGGCUCCAGCAGUAGCACGACGGCGUGGUGGUGAUGGAGCUGCAGUACUCCGGCAGGGCUUCACCAAGCACUAUGGAGGAGGAGGAGGUGUUGGAGAGGGAGAGGGAGGCACCAAAGGCAAGGGUGAGAGGUCCUCCCUUCCCCCCACUAUAUAUAGGGGGCCUAGGGGGGGGGGCGCCAGCCCUAGGAGAUCCAAUCUCCUAGGGGGGCGGCGGCCAAGGGAGGAAUCCCUCCUCCCAAAGGCACCUAGGAGGUGCCUUCCCCUUCUAGGACUCUUCCUUUAGGGUUUCCCCCACCCUAGGCACAUGGGCCCUAGGGGGAAGUGGCGCCACAGCCCACUUUGGGCUGGAUCCCUUCCCACUUCAGCUCAUGGGGCCCUCCGGGAUAGGUGGCCCCACCCAGUGGACCCCCGGGACCCUUCCGGUGGUCCCGGUACAAUACCGGUGACCGCGAAACUUGUCCCGAUGGCCGAAAUAGCACUUCAUAUAUAUAAUUCUUUACCUCCGGACCAUUCCGGAACUCCUCGUGACGUCCGGGAUCUCAUCCAGGACUCCAAACAACAUUCGGGUUACUGCAUAUACAUAUCCCUACAACCCUAGCGUCACCGAACCUUAAGUGUGUAGACCCUACGGGUUCGGGAGACAUGUAGACAUGACCGAGAUUGCUCUCCGGUCAAUAACCAACAGCGGGAUCUGGAUACCCAUGUUGUCUCCCACAUGCUCCUCGAUGAUCUCAUCGGAUGAACCACGAUGUCGAGGAUUCAAGCAACCCCGUAUACAAUUCCCUUUGUCAAUCGGUAUGUUACUUGCCCGAGAUCUGAUCGUCGGUAUCCCAAUACCUCGUUCAAUCUCGUUACCGGCAAGUCACUUUACUCGUACCGUAAUGCAUGAUCCCGUGACUAGACACUUGGUCACUUUGAGCUCAUUAUGAUGAUGCAUUACCGAGUGGGCCCAGUGAUACCUCUCCGUCAUAUGGAGUGACAAAUCCCAGUCUUGAUCCGUGUCAACCCAACAGACACUUUCGGAGAUACCCGUAGUAUACCUUUAUAGUCACCCAGUUACGUUGUGACGUUUGGUAUACCCAAAGCACUCCUACGGUAUCCGGGAGUUACACGAUCUCAUGGUCUAAGGAAAGGAUACUUGACAUUGGAAAACUCUAGCAAACGAACUAUACGAUCUUGUGCUAUGUUUAGGAUUGGGUCUUGUCCAUCACAUCAUUCUCCUAAUGAUGUGAUCUCGUUAUCAAUGACAUCCAAUGUCCAUAGUCAGGAAACCAUGACUAUCCGUUGAUCAACGAGCUAGUCAACUAAAGGCUUACUAGGGACAUGUUGGUGUCUAUUAUUCACACAUGUAUUAUGAUUUCUGGAUAAUACAAUUAUAGCAUGAAUAAAGACAAUUAUCAUGAACAAGGAAAUAUAAGAAUAAUGAUUUUAUUAUUGCCUCUAGGGCAUAUUUCCAACACUUUCGGUCUCUUGUGUUCCGAGACCAUGUCUGUACAUGCUAGGCUCGUCAAGUCAACCUAAGUGUUUCGCGUGUGUAAAUCUGUCUUACACCCAUUGUAUGUGAACGUUAGAAUCUAUCACACCUGAUCAUCACGUGGUGCUUCGAAACAACGAACUAUCGCAACGGUGCACAGUUAGGGGGAACACUUUCUUGAAAUUUUAAUGAGGGAUCAUCUUAUUUACUACCGUUGUUCUAAGCAAAUAAGAUGCAUAAACAUGACAAACAUCACAUGCAAUCAAAUAGUGACAUGAUAUGGCCAUCAUCACUUUGCUCCUCUUGAUCUCCAUCUUCGGGGCUCCAUGAUCAUCAUCGUCACCGGCAUGACACCAUGAUCUCCAUCAUCAUGAUCUCUAUGAUCGUGUCUUCAUGAAGUUGUCUCACCAACUAUUACUUCUACUACUACAGCUAACGGUUAGCAAUAAAGUAAAGUAAUCACAUGACGUUUAUGUUGACAUGCAGGUCAUAAAUAAAUUAAGACAACUCCUAUGGCUCCUGCCGGUUGUCAUACUCAUCGACAUGCAAGUCGUGAUUCCUAUUACAAGAACAUGAUCAAUCUCAUACAUCACAUAUAAUUCAUCACAUUCUUCUUGGCCAUAUCACAUCACAUGGCAUACCCUGCAAAAACAAGUUAGACGCCCUCUAAUUGUUGUUUGCUUGUUUUACGUGGCUGCUACGGGUUUCUAGCAAGAACGUUUCUUACCUACGCAAAACCACAACGUGAUAUGCCAAUUGCUAUUUACCCUUCAUAAGGACCCUUUUCAUCGAAUCCGUUUCGACUAAAGUGGGAGAGACUGGCACCUGCUAGCCACCUUAUGCAACUAGUGCAUGUCAGUCGGUGGAACUUGUCUCACGUAAGAGUAUGUGUAAGGUUGGUCCGGGCCGCUUCAUCCCACAAUACCUUCGAAACAAGAUUGGACUAGUAACGGUAAGCAUAUUGAACAAAAUCAACGCCCACAACUACUUUGUGUUCUACUCGUGCAUAGAAUCUACGCAAUAGACCUAGCUCAUGAUGCCACUGUUGGGGAACGUAGCAGAAAUUCAAAAUUUUCUACGCAUCACCAAGAUCAAUCUAUGGAGAAGUCUACCAACGAGGGAAGGAGAGUGCAUCUAGAUACCCUUGUAGAUCGCUACGCGGAAGCAUUCAAGAGAACGGGGUUGAUGGAGUCGUACUCGUCGUGAUCCAAAUCACCGAUGAUCCUAGUGCCGAACGGAUGGCACCUCCGUGUUCAACACACGUACAACCCGGUGACGUCUCCCAUGCCUUGAUCCAUCAAGGAGAGAGGGAGAGGUUGAGGAAGACUCCAUCCAGCAGCAGCAGAACGACGUGGUGGUGGUGGAGGAGCGUGGCACUGCAGCAGGGCUUCGCCAAGCACCGCAAGAGACGAGGAGGGAGAGGGGUAGUGCUGCGCCAAGAAGGAGAGGAACUCGUGUGUGUUGGGCAGCCCAAACCUCAAGUAUAUAUAGGGGAAGGGGAGGGGCUGCGCCCCCACCUAGGGUUCCCUCCCUAGGGGUGGCGGCAGCCCCCAGAUCCCAUCUGGGUGGCGGCCACAAGGGGGAGAGGGGGAGGCGCACCUGGGGUGGGCCUUAGGGCCCAUCUGCCCUAGGGUUUGGCCCCUUUCCCUCUUGGAGGCGCCUUGGGCCUUGGUGGGAGGCGCCCCAGCCCACCUAGGGACUGGUCCCUUCCCACUUUUGGCCAAUGUAGGCCUCCGGGUCUGGUGGCCCCACUUGGUGGACCCCCGGGACCCUCCCGGUGGUCCCGGUACGUUACCGAUAAACCCCGAAACUUUUCCGGUGACCAAAACAGGACUUCCCAUAUAUAAAUCUUUACCUCCGGACCAUUCCGGAACUCCUCGUGACGUCCGAGAUCUCAUCCGGGACUCUGAACAACAUUCGGUAACCAUGUAUAUCUAUUCCCUAUAACCCUAGCAUCAUCGAACCUUUAGUGUGUAGACCCUACGGGUUCGGGAAACAUGCAGACAUGACCGAGACACCUCUCCGGUCAAUAACCAACAGCGGGAUAUGGAUACCCAUGUUGGUUCCCACAUGUUCCAUGAUGAUCUCAUCGGAUGAACCACGAUGUCGAGGAUUCGAUCAAUCCCGUAUACAAUUCCCUUUGUCUAGCGGUAUUGUACUUGCCCGAGAUUCGAUCGUCGGUAUCCCAAUACCUUGUUCAAUCUCGUUACCGGCAAGUCUCUUUACUCGUUCCGUAACACAUCAUCCCGUGAUCAACUCCUUGAUCACAUUGUGCACAUUAUGAUGAUGUCCUACUGAGUGGGCCCAGAGAUACCUCUCCGUCACACGGAGUGACAAAUCCGAGUCUCAAUUCGUGCCAACCCAACAGACACUUUCGGAGAUACCUGUAGUGUACCUUUAUAGCCACCCAGUUACGUUUUGACACUUGGCACACCCAAAGUAUUCCUAUGGUAUUCGGGAGUUGCACAAUCUCAUGGUCUAAGGAAAUGAUACUUGACAUUAGAAAAGCUUUAGCAUGCGAACUACACGAUCUUGUGCUAUGCUUAGGAUUGGGUCUUGUCCAUCACAUCAUUCUCCUAAUGAUGUGAUCCCGUUAUCAAUGACAUCCAAUGUCCAUGGUCAGGAAACCGUAACCAUCCAUUAAUUAACGAGCUAGUCAACUAGAGGCUUAAUAGGGACAUGGUGUUGUCUAUGUAUCCACACAUGUAUCUGAGUUUCCUAUCAAUACAAUUCUAGCAUGGAUAAUAAACGAUUAUCAUGAACAAGGAAAUAUAAUAAUAACUAAUUUAUUAUUGCCUCUAGGGCAUAUUUCCAACAAGAACUACUUCAGACAGCUCUGGCCCAGCAGGAUGCAUACUCCUAUAGUCGAGACAGGAUUCAUUCAACUCCUCGCCCAAGUCGGAGCCCAAGUUACAGUAGGCACAUGGAGUCUGCAGAGAUGUCAAGUAAUGCUCAACGCCACAACCGGCCAUAUAGGCAUGAGCCGGUGCGGGCUGGAGCCCUUAACCUGGCGGAUCAAGAGAGGAUUCUUCAAGAGGCGGAACGAGCGGCUCAAAUAGCAGCAGAGCAGGCGGCUCAUCAAACCUUUCCGGCUUAUCCAGCAACCUCGGUUGAGGCAGGAGUGGCCACAAGAACCGGAGGCGUACCUUGCUUGGUACCGGCCAUACACAAUGAGCGGUUGCCAAAAGAUUUCAAGGGGCCUCGUAAGGUGCCUAAUUACACGGCUGACCUAUAGUUGGUGGCUUGGAUUGAGAGUUAUGAGAUGGCUAUGGAGCUGUCGGAGGUUAGCGACGCUGCAAUAGCCAAGUAUUUUACCAUGAUGUUGGAUGGAACAACUCGGACCUGGUUGAAGGGAUUGCCACCCAAUUCUAUCGGCUCAUGGGCAGAGUUGAAAGCGCGGUUCAGCCAGAACUUUAAAGACACGUGUAAGUAGCCAAUGUCGAUUGUGGACCUGACCAAUUGUAAGAAGAGGACGGUGAGUCUACAACCCAUUGGGUGCGCCGGGUCAAGGAGAUAAUACAUUCAUCUGAUAAGAUGGAUGCCGGCUCAGCAGUCUUGAUGUUGGAGAAAAAUUGCUGUUUUGAACAUCUGAAGCAGAAGCUGGGGCGACUUAAAUGCAACUGUAAUGACAUGGGAACGUUGAUGGCGGCUCUUGCCAAGUAUGCUGAUUCUGAUACCACCAAGGACCCGGUGUCUGACGAAGAAAAGGCAACAAAGGGAAACAAGAACGGCAACGACAAGGGUCACCAGCAUAACCCGGUGAAUCAGGGAGGUAAUAAACGUAAGGCUGAUGAGUUUGUUGCUAAUACUAAUGCGCAGGGUGGUAAUCAGCGGCGCAAGGGCAGACAGCCCCCUUGGUCAGGCGGGUCAGGUCCCACUCUUGAGCAAUUGUUGAAUGAACCUUGUCCAAAGCACGGCACCCGGGAGAAGCCAGCCACCCACCUGUGGAAAGAUUGCACGAUCAUGAAGGCAUUUAAAAAUUCAAAUGCAUUUGAUGGGGGUCAUGGCCCAGGUGGCGGUUCAGGUGAAGGCGGCUUUCAGGGCCCGGGCGCCGGUUCAGGCGGAGGAGGUUUUCAAGGUCAAGGUUAUCCUGGUCACCAAGGAGGAUAUAAUCAGCAACACGGCCAAGGGAAUCAGCAGCAGCAAUUCGGUUAUCAGAGCAACCCAAAGCAGUUGAGUAGCGGACAGUAUCAUGUCUUUACUACCAGUUUAUGUAAGAGGGACCAGAAACUUCACAAGAGGGCCGUCAAUGCCGUUGAGCCGGCAAUUCCACGGUAUCUACGUUGGUCGGAGCAGCCUAUUGUGUGGAGCAGAGAGGAUCACCCGCCCCGGGUUGAUAAUCCGGGUCACUUGGCUUUGGUAGUGGCACCUCAGGUUGGUGGGUACAAGUUUACUAAGGUGCUCAUGGAUGGAGGCAGCAACAUCAACAUCCUCUACUAUGAGACGUUCCGUCGGAUGGGAUUGAUGGAUAAAAAUCUUAAAUAAUCCAACACUGUUUUUCAUGGUGUGGUGCCUGGUAAAUCGGCAUACCCAGUUGGUAAGAUUGAACUGGAAGUAGCCUUUGGGGAUGAGUAUGACUCCAGAGCGGAAAAAUUAACCUUUGAGGUGGUUAAGAUCAAAAGCCCAUAUCAUGCUCUGUUUGGGCGGCCGGCUUAUGCCAAGUUCAUGGCUCGGCCGUGUUACGUAUAUUUGCAGCUCAAGAUGCCGGGUCAUAAAGGCACCAUUACAGUACAUGGGAGCCGGAAGAUAGCCUUGGAAUGUGAAGAAGGUGAUGCUGCCUAUGCUGAAUCUGUUUGUGCAACAGAGGAGUUAAAAUUUCACAAGGAUCAUGUUGACCCGGCAGACAUGACGUCAUUAAAGAAACCAACAAUAGAGCAUGAGCCGGAGUUGAAAUUCAAAUCAGCUAAUGACAGUAAGAUGGUUGACUUUGUACCUGGUGACUCAUCCAAACAGUUUAUCAUCAGCGCAAACUUGGAUCCGAAAUAGGAAAGCGCACUCAUCGAGUUCAUCCAUGAGAACCGGGACAUCUUUGCAUGGAAACCUUCAGACAUGCCGGGUGUCCCGAGGGAACUCGCUGAGCACACUCUUAAUAUCGAUCCAAAAUUCAAACCUGUCAGACAGUUUCUCUGACGGUUCAAUGAAGAAAGACGCAAGGCCAUCGGGGAAGAGGUGGCCCGGCUCUUGGCAGCCGGGUUCAUUGUGGAGGUCUUUCACCCUGAAUGGUUAGCUAACCCGGUGCUUGUACUAAAAAAGAAUGGCACCUGGCGUAUGUGUGUGGAUUACACAGAUCUGAACAAGGCUUGUCCGACUGAUCCUUUUGCUCUCCCCCGUAUUGAUCAGAUCAUUGAUGCUACGACGGGUUGCGCAUGAUUGAGUUUCUUGGAUGCUUAUUCCGGUUAUCAUCAGAUUAAGAUGGCAGUCAAGGAUCAAGAGAAGACAACUUUUAUAACUCCUUUUGGAGCUUUCUACUAUGUGUCUAUGCCUUUUGGGCUUAAGAGUGCCCAGGCGACUUACCAGCGGUGUGUACAAAAUUGUCUUCACAAUCAAAUUGGGCGCAAUGUUCAUGCUUAUGUUGAUGAUAUAGUGGUGAAAUCCAGGGAAGAGGAAACCUUGGUCACAGACCUGAAAGAGAAUUUUGAUAAUCUCUGGGUUUACAAAAUGAUGCUUAACCCGACCAAGUGUGUUUUUGGAGUGCCAGCCGGCAAGCUCUUGGGUUUUUUGGUGUCUAACCGAGGUAUUAAAGCUAACCCGGAGAAAAUCAAGGCAAUUACAUCCCUAGCCAAACCAACCUGCGUCAAUGAUGUUCAGCGGCUGGCGGGUCGUGUGGCUGCUUUGAGCCGGUUCAUAAGCCGGUUAGGGGAAAAGGCUAUGCCUCUGUAUUAGUUGAUGAAGAAAACGGAUGUUUUUGUUUGGAGUGAUGCUGCGAACGCUGCUUUUGAGGAUCUGAAGGCACAGCUGGCUGAGCCGCCGGUCCUGGCUGCUCUAAUUGAGAAAGUGCCGCUAAUGUUAUACGUGGCUGCCAACUCACGGGCUGUUAGUGUGGCUAUUGUGGUAGAGCACAAGGAGGCUGGCAAAGAGCAUCCAGUUCAGCGGCCGAUUUAUUAUGUCAGUGAAGUGCUAAUUGAGUCUAAGCAAUGAAAUCCACAUUGGCAGAAGCUUGUUUAUGGGGUGUUCAUGGCGAGCCGGAAGCUUAAGCAUUACUUUCAGGGACAUCCAAUCACUGUGGUUAGCUCUGCUCCUUUGGGAGACAUUAUUCAGAACAGAGAAGCCACGGGGCGAGUCGCCAAGUGGGCAAUUGAGCUUGGGUCUCAUGGGUUGAAGUAUGUUCCAGGUACUGCAAUUAAGUCUCAAGCCUUGGUUGACUUCAUCAAUGACUGGACAGAGAUGCAGAUGCCAGAAGAGAAGCUAGACAACACGUAUUGGACUAUUCAUUUUCCUGGAUCCAGGCAAUUGGAAGGCUCGGGGGUUGGAGUCGUGCUAACUUCCCCAUGAGGUGACAAAUUUUGUUAUGUGUUACGGUUGAUGUUUCCUUGCACUAACAACGCAGCAGAGUAUGAAGCCUUGCUCCAUGGUCUUCGAGUGGCAAAAGAGAUGAGCUUGAGCUGGGUCAGAUGUCUUGGUGACUCGGAUCUAGUGGCUCAACAGGUAUCUGGCAAGUGGGAUUCCAAAGACCCUCUCAUGGCGGCUUAUCGCUGAGAGGUUGAUGCUGUUGCAGGAUAUUUUAAAGGUUAUCAGGUGGAACACAUUGACCGUCGAAAGAACAAAGCAGCUAAUGCUUUAAGCUGGCUGGGGUCUCAGCGUAAGCCGGUGCCACCUAACACCUUUUGGAUGUUUUGCAUAACCUCUCUGUCAAGUUGCCCACAGAAGAAUAUUUAGUUGUUCCUGACCCGGAGGUGCAGUUGGUAGCAGCUCUUCAUGUCAUCCCAGAUUGGACGGUGCCGUUCUUGGCUUACAUGACCCGGGGAGAGUUGCCAGCGGAUGAGAACCUAGCUCAACAGAUAACCCGGCGAUCUAAGUCCAUGACGAUUUCGUAUGGAGAGUUAUACCAUCGCAGUGUUUCCGAAGCGUUUCAGCGGUGUGUUUCCCCCCGAAGAAGGUCAAGAAAUCCUUCAUGAGAUCCAUGAAGGCGAUUGUGUUCAUCACGCCGGGUCAAAAUCUUUAGUGGCCAAGGCGUUUCGUCAUGGGUUUUACUGGUUGACGGCUCAUGCUGAUGCAGAAGUUCUGGUCAGUAGAUGCGAUGGAUGUCAAAAAUUUGCACGAUGAGCGCAUGUGCCGGCUCAAGAGCUCCGGAUGAUUCCAAUCACUUGGCCGUUUGCGGUCUGGGGUCUUGACAUGGUGGGACCUUUCAAAAGGUCUAAGGAUAAAAAGACACAUCUCCUGGUGGCAGUUGAUAAAUUCACCAAGUGGGUUGAGGCGGAGCCUGUGAGUAAAUGUGACGCAGCCACGGCGGUUCAGUUCAUGAAAAAAGUGAUUUUCCGUUUCGGGUUUCCACACAGUAUUAUCACUGACAAUGGCACUAAUCUAUCCCAAGGAGCUAUGGAGGAAUUUUGUCAACGAGAACACAUCCGGCUUGAUGUUUCCUCUGUAGCUCACCCUCAAUCCAAUGGUCAAGCUGAGAGAGCCAAUCAGGAAAUUUUGAAAGGGAUCAAACCCCGGCUUAUGGUUCCUUUACAACGAACGCCGGGUUGUUGGGUAGAGGAAUUACCCUCGGUAUUAUGGAGUAUCAAUACUACACCCAAUAGGUCUACGGGUUACACACCUUUCUUCAUGGUUUAUGGAGCAGAAGCAGUAUUGCCCAGUGACAUCCGUCAUGACUCGCCCCAUGUGGCGGCUUAUGUUGAAGCUAAUAAUGAACAAGCCAGACAGGAUGCACUUGACUUGUUGGAUGAAGAAAGAGACUUAGCAGUGGCCCGGUUAGCAAUUUAUUAACAAGACCUGCGUCGUUAUCACAGCCGCCGGGUUAAGUCCAGGACUUUUCCGGAAGGCGACUUGGUGCUCCGGCUCAUCCAGGAUCUUUCAGAUGCACACAAGUUAUCCCCACCUUGGGAAGGACCCUUUGUGGUUCGUAAAAAUUUAAACAAUGGGUCAUACUACCUCAUUGACGUUCGAGAGCAUGCAGACUCACGUAAGUCGGAAGAGGAGACCCGCCGGCCAUGGAACAUUGCUCAACUUCGGCCAUAUUACACCUGAGCCACCGGCUCUCAUCAUGUACAUACGUUCACAUUGUAUAUACUAUGAUAAGCAAUAAAGUAAGACCAUCAGUCUCUUUUCUCUUCACAGACUAUGCAUCUUUAUUAUUUCUUAUUUACAAAUGGCUAUUAAGGAGCUGAUCAUAUUUGAAUCAAGUUUAACCUUUUUGGUCCAGCUUAUGAUCGUAUCCGAAUCUAGCUGCAAAUCUCAUGGUCACUUGGGAGCUUCCUGUUCAAAUUAGGUCGUAUUCGAACCAAAGAGAACAUAGCUGUCAUAACCCUCUUGAUCGGCUCAAGGCCAAAACUCACUGGGGGCUUCUUGAUCGUAUCCGAAUCAUAGCUUAACCCCUUUGAGUCCGACUUGGAUCGUAUUUGAAUCAGGGUUGUUAAAAACCUCUCAAGGUCAUUUGGGGGCUUCCUGUUCAAACAUAGGUCGUAUUCGAACCAAAGAGAACAUAGCUGUUAGUACCCUCUUGAUCAGCGCAACGCCAAAACCACUGGGGGCUAUAUGGUCGUAUUCGAACCUUAGCUCAACCCCUUUGGUCUGGUUUACUGGUCGUAUUCGAAUCAGAAACCCCCAACCUUUCGAAUACAAGAUUAAAAUUAUGCUUGUUAUUUAUUGCUUGCCUUUUAGUUUGUUGUUGUUUCAAUAGUACAAAUAAAUUAGCCUGGUCUUCUUCACCGGCUCAAUUAUUGGACAACACAGCUGCCCGGGUCAUUCAAUCCAGCGGUUCAAGGAUCAAAAGGUAUGAGCUACCAAGGUAUAAUGAUCAUUAAGUAUUAAAGAAGCAUUAGCUUUUCAUAAAUAUUGAGUUAUCAACUUCAAUCACCCGACUUAUUUAAACCGGCGAUCUAAGGAUCAAAAGGGAUCAGGUAUGGUCAUUACUUAUACACGCUUACCUGCUGCGUUAACUAAAAAAGUUCAAAUUUAUAUUUGUCUCUGUUUUUAUCGAGGUAAAUAUAUUGGCUCUUCAUUAGGUGUUUAAACCCGUUUGGUUCUAAACCACCAUGCCAGUCUUUUCUUUGUAUUUACAGGAACAGGGUUCAAACAUUGCAGAGAUAAGCAUUAAGCGAUGCAUAAGCAAGCAUUAAACAUUGGCAUCUGAAACACAGAUGCACAUAUAAGUAUUUUAUGCGCGAUGGCACAAGCAAACAUGCGGUGUUUUAACAGCUAAGCUAUUACAAGGCUUUAUAAGCCCAUGAAGAUGAUCAUUGUCCCUCCCUCGCCGGUUCACCAUCUUGAGUCUGCUGGAAGUUGGGUUUUGACCAAUCAAAGCCGUUCAUGGCGACAAAUUCAGCUUCGUCGUCAAUCAGGCCAACCGGGUCAACCUCAGGGGCAAAUGUAUCUUCUCUCACUGGUGGGAUCAAGUCUGUUACUUUAUGUAACACCCUUGAUGCGACUAUAGCUCCCACGUGUCGAGGCACGACUUAGAGACACAAUCACAUUGAAGGCAUAUGUUGCAAGUUAGGAAAUCUUCACAACAUCCCAAGUAAUAAUAAUAAAAGGGGAGAUAACAUAGUUGGCUUACACUCGCCACGUCAAUCAAGUACAUAAAUAACAUUACAUCAUCCAAACACUCAUGGCCGACUACGGCGCCAAAAUAAAAGAGAACCCAACAUGCGACACGGCCCCAAUCACCCCCAACUGGGCACCACUACUGACCAUCAGGAAAGGAAACAUAGUAACAUUGAGAGUCUUCGUCGAACUCCCACUUGAGCUCGUACACGUCUCCUGGAGCGGAAUCAUCAGGCCCUGCAUCUGGUGUAAUAGUAAUCUGUGAGCCACGGGGACUUAGCAAUCUCGCACCCUCGCGAUCAAGACUAUUUAAGCUUAUAGGUAUGGCAAGAUAAAUAUAAGUGGAGCUGCAGCAAGCGACUAGCAAGUAUGGUGGCUAACUUAUUCGCAAAAGAGAGCGAGAAGAGGAGGCAAAGCGCGAGCGAGAAACUAGAGAGCAACCUGCACAAACAUUACUCCAACACCGUGUCCACUUCCCGGACUCCGCCGAGAAGAGGCCAUCACGGUAACACACUCAGUUGAUUCAUUUUAAUUAAAUUAAGGUUCAAGUUAUCUACAACCGGACAUUAACAAAUUCCCAUCUGCCCAUAACCCCGGGCACGGCUUUCGAAAGUUCAAUCCCAGCAGGGGAGUCCCAACUUAGCCCAUGACAAGCUCUCACGGUCAACGAAGGAAUAGACCUCCUCCCAAGACGUUCCGAUCAGACUCGGUAUCUCGGUAAUUCAAGACACUUCGACAAGUUAAAACAAGGCCAGCAACACCGCCCGAAUGUGCCGACAAAUCCCGAUAGGAGCUGCACAUAUCUCGUUCUCAGGGCACACUCAGAUAGGUCAAGCUACGAGUAAAACCAACCCUCAAGUUUCCCCGAGGUGGUCCCGCAGGCUACCCGGUUCGGACCAACACUCAGAGGGAGCACUGGCCCAGGGGGGGGGGGUUAAAAUAAGAUGACCCUUGGGCUCCGGUAACCCAAGGGAAAAAGAGGCUAGGUGGCGAAUGGUAAAACCAAGGUUGGGCAUUGCUGGAAAAGCUUUAAUCAAGGUGAACUAUCAAGGGGUUCCCAUUAUAACCCAACCGCGUAAGGAACGCAAAAUCCGGGAACAUAACACCGAUAUGACGGAAACUAGGGCGGCAAGAGUGGAACAAAACACUAGGCGAGAGGCCGAGCCUUCCACCCUUUACCAAGUAUAUAGAUGCAUUAAGAUAACACGGCAAUAUAAUGAUAUCCCAACAAGUAAAUAAGAGAUGUUCCAACAAGGAACGACCUCCAAUCUUCACCUGCAACUAGCAACGCUAUAAGAGGGGCUGAGCAAAGCGGUAACAUAGCCAAUCAACGGUUUGCUAGGACAUGGUGGGUUAGAGGUUUGACAUGGCAAUUUGGGAGGCUUGCAAGCAAGUGGUAGGCAUCGUAGCAAUGGCAUAGAAAAGGAGCGAGCAAACUAGCAUAGCAAAGAUAGUAGUGAUUUCGAGGGUAUGAUCAUCUUGCCUGCACAGUUGUCAGAGUUGACUGGAUCCUCAAAAGCAAACUCAACGGGCUCCUCAUUAGCGAACUCGUCUCCCGGCUCUACCCAAACAAGACAAACAAGCAACAAGGAUACAAUCAACCAGGUGCAAACUCAAACAACAAGAUGCAAAGAUGAUAUGCUAUGCGGGAUGCGAUGCGGGAUGCAAAAUGCAAGAUAUGACAGGAAAUGCAUGAACCUGGCCUCAACUUAGAAUUCCAAGGGUGCCACUGGAAAGAUGAGAUGAAAUCGCUCUAAAACGAUAUAAAGAACGCCGGAAUCGGAGUUACGGUUUGGAAAUGGCAAGCGUUUCAAAAAUGACACCGGUCUGCGAUUUACAGCAAGUAGGCAUCUAAAUGCAAUGAGAUGAACAUGCUACAGCCACCAAACAUGGCAUCAAAAUACAUGGCAGGGAUGCCCACAAGAUUCUUAACAAAAGUCUAGCACUGAGCUACGGCCAAAUCAUCCAUUAACAGGUUCAAACAAGCAUGGCAAAAACGCAAAUGACAAACAAAUCUCAGACUUAGUGAAAUUAACACUUGUCUGGAAUUUCAGAUCAUAUAGCCCUCUUCGGAGCAACAAAACAACAUGCUACAGGACCUGAACAUGAUAAAGAAAGACAUGGCAAGGAGCUACUCAACAAGCUUAACAAAAGGCCCUUAGUGACCUUGAGCCAAAAGGGAUCACAAAAUAUACUAACAAGCACACGAACAUAGCAAAAACAUAAUCAGUUUUCAGACUUGGUGAAAACUGGGACAUGCUGAAACAUAACUCACGGAGGCAUGUUUACGAGCUGGAUGCACUCACUACGGUGCAAGUCAUGGCAAGACAAGCAUACAUCCCUUAAGAAGGCACAAAAUGCAAGCUAGACAUGGCAAGAACAAUGGCAUAGCAUGCACGGAACAACUACAAUAACAUCGGCAAAAUCGCAAACAAGUUGACGAUCUGCCCAGAUUCACAACGAAGCAAAAGUAGAGCUCGAUUGACUCAAGCUAGGGUGCUCCAUAAUUGCAAACAAAGACAUGGAUGGAUAGAGCACUACAAUAUUAACAAAACUCCCUUACUGAUCAUCCUCAAAAGAGGCACGGAUCACUAGGAAACAACAAGAACAUAUGGUAUCAUGAGAUGAACAAUCCCAGGACUUAGUGAAAUCACAAAGUCCCUGAAAACAGAAUUAGCAAGUGCACCACUUUGCAAGCUUGCACAAGUCACCACACACAUCCUAAAAAUACAUGGGUUGCACCUCUGGAUAAUGAAAAAACCCUUAACAAAACAUAUGAAGAACUCACGGGCAUAGCAUGCACACAAUAAUCAUGGCAAAAAUGACAAAAGUGCUAAACGGAGUAACAGAUCUGACAAUUAACUCAAGUAGCCCUCUUCUAACAGCAUUUCGGGCAUCAAGAUGAGCUCAAAUGAAAAUGAUGCAAUGGAAUGAAAUGAUGUACUCUCUGAGAUGAACAUUUUGAUAUGCUAUACGCCCAAAUCGGAGCUACGGAUGCAAAGUUACGGAGCCUCGAACUGGAGCACUUGAACUAAAAAUUCCGGGGACUUGGGAAAAAAUCAACCUCCGGAUCUGGAUCUAGGGUUUGCACGGAAACCGAGGCGCGGCGCGGCACUGUAGCUGUUCGAGGACCGUCGGAAGAAAAAGAGCCGCGGCGGCCGGAGCUCUCGCCGGAGAGGCCGCCGGCGACGAGGAGGCGGGGCGGCGGAGCUUCACGGAGGCGGGGCGCGGGGCAGCCCGGUGACGAGCUUGGCGGCGGGGGCGGCNNNNNNNNNNNNNNNNNNNNNNNNNNNNNNNNNNNNNNNNNNNNNNNNNNNNNNNNNNNNNNNNNNNNNNNNNNNNNNNNNNNNNNNNNNNNNNNNNNNNNNNNNNNNNNNNNNNNNNNNNNNNNNNNNNNNNNNNNNNNNNNNNNNNNNNNNNNNNNNNNNNNNNNNNNNNNNNNNNNNNNNNNNNNNNNNNNNNNNNNNNNNNNNNNNNNNNNNNNNNNNNNNNNNNNNNNNNNNNNNNNNNNNNNNNNNNNNNNNNNNNNNNNNNNNNNNNNNNNNNNNNNNNNNNNNNNNNNNNNNNNNNNNNNNNNNNNNNNNNNNNNNNNNNNNNNNNNNNNNNNNNNNNNNNNNNNNNNNNNNNNNNNNNNNNNNNNNNNNNNNNNNNNNNNNNNNNNNNNNGAAGGCGCGAGGGCGCGGGCGGCGCGGGCCGGGGAGGGUCGGCCGCAGGCCGCGUCGGGCUGGCGGUGGAGGCCGCGGGCGCAGCCAACGGGGCGGCGCCACGUGGCGGCGGCGGGCGGUGGCGGACACGUCCGGCCCGAAUCGGAUGUGUCCGUCGGCAGGAGGAGCAGUUUUAGGGUUUCGGGGAGGACGAAGAUCCGAAAACGGAGGGGUGUAUGUAUAGGCCUAGAGGGAGCUAGGAGAGUCCAAAUGAGGUCCGGUUUUCGGCCACGCGAUCGUGAUCAAACGCUCUAGGACAUGGAGCAGAGUUUGGUGGUUUUUGGGCCAAAUUGGAGGGAUGUUGGGCUGCAACACACACGAGGCCUUUUCGGUCCCUCGGUUAACCGUUGGAGUAUCAAACGAAGUCCAAAUGGUACGAAACUUGACAGGCGGUCUACGGUAGUAAACCAAGGCCGCUUGGCAAGUCUCGGUCCAAUCCGGAAAUGUUUAAUCCCCACACACGAAAGAAAGCUAGAAAUGACCACCGGAGGAGAACGAAGCGCCGGAACGCAAAACGGACAACGGGAAAAUGCUCGAAUGCAUGAGACGAACACGUAUGCAAAUGCAAUGCACAUGAUGACAUGAUAUGAGAUGCAUGACAAAGACAACAACACACGGAGACAAAACCGGAACCCGAGGAAAUAAAUAUAACUUAACGCCGGAAACGGCAAGAGUUGGAGUACAAAUAGGGAAAGUUACAUCCGGGGUGUUACACUUUAUAUGAGGGAGGGGCCAUCUUCUUAUUAUCACUAUCAAAACCCGGCUGGUACUUGUCCACAUUGGUGUCAUCUCCAAGACUAGUUGCUUGAGGCCGAACUUCGCGGACGCAGGCUAAGAAGUCAUCCUGAUCAAAAGGAGACCCGUCCUCCUUCACGGUAGGAUAGCCCCUUGCCACGUCCGUCGGGUCUAGGUCUGGCACCCAAGGCUUGGAGCGGCUUAGGGCAGUCAAAGCUCCGGCUCGCGCGCAGGAGCGUUUUACUUCUUGGAACCUGGCAGGAAGGAUGGAUAACUUCUUCAGGACGUCACUGAGCCGGUUAGGUCCUUGAUUAGCAGGAGAGAUGGCAGCCAGAGCCCGUUGUGCACCGAUAUACAAUUGUUCAACUAAAGUGUAUACUGCCUUCAGCUUAAUCAACGGGUCUUGGCUCAGAUUCUUACUUCGCGGACCUGCAUAUAUUUUUAACAGAGUCAGUUGGCGGAUUAUACUCCGGUUUGGCAAAAAAUAUAUGAAAGGUCAAAUCAGGCAGCUUACCAAAGAUAGCAGCGACCAUCUGAGACACCCUGCCCUUUAAACUGUUCAGCUCUGUUGAAAUUUCUUUCAGAGCUGUUUCGGCUGUCUCAGCUCGUCGGGUCAGAAGUGUUUUCUCAUUUUCCCAAGUCUUCUCCUUGGCAGCAAAGCUGGUCUUCAAAUUUUCCGUUGCAGAAAGGCUUAUUUGCAGUUUGGAGGUGGAAGAUUUGAUUUCUGACUCCUGACUCGCUAGCCGGGUCUUUGCGUUAGUCAAUUGAGAGUUCAAUUCAGACAAGGCAUUGUGUGAAACGUUCCGAUAAGUCAAGACUUGGUUUCAAAUUCAAAUAUCCAAAUUCAAGAUUCAAGUCUCAAGUACUUUACGAAUAAACCACUUGACACUUGGGGGCUAAUGUAUGCCAAAUCAAAUUUUUAUGACUCUACAAACAUAUUUAAAGUCCCAAGUCCCUUACAAAGUAACAUCACUUGGCACUUGGGGGCUAAUGUACGCAGUUCAGCAAGUUUAUCAAGGUUAAACUAGAGUGUUAAGUACUUUGAAGACGGUUUUAAAUUCUAAAGUACCAAUUCAUUAAUGAUCAAAAUAAACCGGUCCUUGGGGACUAUAGGUGAAGUUUUGUUCUAUCAAUAUCAGGCAAAGAUUCAGAGGUAAAAAUCUCGGCCUAUAUUUUAAGUCUACAGGUUAUUCCGUUUCUCUUAUAAUCUGAAGACUUGGGGGCUAAAGGAAUAUUAGUAAACCAGAAACAACGUACCUCAUACUUCAACUGAAGCUGCUUGACCAUCUCGAUCUCAGACUCAUGACUGGAGUGUACAUGACUGAGAUAGCCGGAUAAGAUAUCACUAGCAUUGAGACAGUCAUAGUUGGCAACAUCAAAGCGAACCUUCUGCCUCUCCAAUGCUUCUUGCUUUGCUGUGCACCGAGCCAGCACUGUUGGGUUCCCUGGCUCAACAAAGCGACUCCCAGUAAUUUGAACAUCUUGAGCAGGUGGAGACGGCGGGUUGGUUGAGCUUGACGGUCCAGCUGUAGAAGGAUUCAUAAUGGCUUCGUCAAAAGUCGGCUCAGGAGGGUUUGCCUCAUUAUCAAUAGGCGGGUGUUCUGGAGCGUUAGCCAAUGGAGAAGGCGGCCUAGCCGGUUCAGAUGCUAGCACUGGCGGGUCUUCCACUGGUUUAGCCGCCUUCGUCUUCUUGGAUUUAGCCUGACCACUAAGGAAAAAUAUUGCAAGAUUGUCAGCAUAAAGAUACAAUUGAGCAACCCGGAAGAAAGGAGGAUUUCUGAUUACCCAGGAGCAUUCUUGAAAGCCGGAAAUUGUGUUUGUGAUGAGUCUCCUGAAGAACGAGACACCUCUUGAAAGGAUAAAAUAAAAGAGUUAAAAGAAAUACAAGGAGCAGGAUUCAUUAAAACGAGUUAAAGACAGUAAUAAGUAAACCUCGUUCGGGCGUUUCCGAGGGGUCUGUUGAAGGACGACAGCCGGUUCAUCUUCAGUCCCAACUUCAUGUCGGCUUUCAUGUUGCUGCUUUUUCAAAUGAAAGUUGGGAUCCAAGUGAGCUAAGGGGUUAGAAAACCUUAUUUAUGGACCACUCGUCGAACUUUGUGUCUUGGUAAGGGAUCUGAGUCGGAGGAAAUGAUAGUUACGUCUGCUUCCCGGCCUGACUGGCCCCAGUGUCAUCCUGGUAAGGAUCAGUGUCAAUAAGAUUGUUAAAAAAUUGGCCAAGGGAAUCAAGGGCUACCUCCGAGUCAGACGUGUCAUCAAGUUUCAUUAAAUCUUCAGCAGUGGUUUUCUUUUUCUUCUUCGAUCUCCGGGUCGAUUUCUUGGCGUUCAUGGCGGCGAGUUUCGCCUUCUUGGCAGCUUCGUGAUCAUAUUUCACUUUCCAAAAGUCAGAGUUGGCCUACAAAGACAAGAGGAAGGAUCAGUGAUAAACAAUACGGCUGGACAAAAUACAAAGGAAAAAAGAUCAGAAUAUCCUUACUUCUGGUACCGGAUUAAGUUUACAGAAGGGAUUUAACCCAACAACACUGCAAUCUUCAUACUUCACAUUCACCAGAAGGUUUGACAUUGAGACAAUGUCCUCCUCGGUUAGUUGAACCGGGGUAUGACGAAGAGAGUCGUCCGGGUCUCCACCAUAUUCAUACAUCAAUUUUGAACGAUGGCUUAAUGGAAUAAUCUGCCAUGAGAUCCAGCAGCGGGUUAGAUCAACUCUGGUUAAACCGUUCCCCAACAAACCAUUGAUUCUUCUAAUAGAUGGAAGCAGCUUCUUGCGUUCAGCAAUGGUAAGUUUAUCUGGCAGUGCGAACUUGGAGUCAAGACGAUCGGGGCGGUAACCCGGCAGUGGCUUCUCAUUGGCGGGUGAGAUGUCCUGACAGUAAAACCAAGUUUGGUUCCAGUCCUUUGGGUGACUUGGUAAAACUAUGAGAGGGAAGACAACACCCUGCCGACGCUGAAUUGAGAUGCCUCCAAGCUCUAAGCUAAGGCCGUUGGUGCACUCGUUCUGCCGGUUCAGAUAGAAAUAUUCUCUAAAUAGCUCCACACUCGGCUCUUGCUAAAGAUAUACCUCACAUAGCACUUGGAAGUUACAAAUAUUGGAUAUGGAAUUGGGCCCAAUAUCCUGAGGAUGGAGUUUGAAAAAGUGAAGAACUUCUCUGAAGAACUUUGAACCGGGCGGUGAGAAGCCACGGUUCAUGUGGUUAGUAAAGACGAUCACUUCGCCGUCUUUCGGAUUGGGUCACUCUUAUUCCGGGCCAGGAGCACGAUAAGACAUGAUGCUUUUUGAGGGCAGAAACCCAAUGAGGAAGAACUCUUUUAAACCAUCCUCGGUUAUGGUUGAGGGGGCCCAAUUACAGAUGAUGGGUGUCUUUGACGGUAUGAUGUGCAAGGAACUGAAAAAGAAAUAACAACAUGCCGAUUCAGUUUACGGUCAGGAUAACAGUUAAAGGCCGAAGAUGUAAAACAAGUAAUGGCGGCUUAACUAAGGGCUAAUGACAUAUAAGGAAAAGAAAGCCGGAGCAGUAAGCCACCAUGACUACAAUUGUUUUCAGAAAGCAGAUUCAGCUAAGUGUUGGCAUAAACAAGUUUUACCAACCUGUCAUUAUUAUUUUGGAUCAAAUGGCCGUUCUGAAAAGAAAAAUAUUCUAGACCUAAAAAUCUAGUACAAAUGAGUUCGUCAGCUAUAACGAAGCAUCUAUACAGGAAAAAGGGAUCUUCUGCUAUAAAAAAUGGACGCAAAACAACUACCGCACGAGUUAUAUCUCCUCUUUGGAUCAAGAGAGGCCGCGGAGGAAGAACUACUAAGAAGGUUCAUGAAGAACGGUGAAGAACACCGAUGAACUCGCAACCCCUAAUGGAGAUCUAAAAAGUUUGAGAAGAUAAGACUUACGGAUGCAGAUUCGCUGUGGAGGGUCGUCGCCGUUUAUCUGGACAGUUCAGGGUGAUGCAGCGGCUAGGCUUGAGGACGACGAUGAGCGUUGCAGUGGCGGCGGAUCUCGAGCAUUAGCGGAGAUGGCGAGAGGAAGAAGAUGAAGAAGAGGGGAGAAUGAGAAAAACCGGCCGCAUGCCUAUUUAUAAGGGCAGAUGCGAACAGACGGGCGCAAAAAUCAAGGGAGAACCAAAUAAUGAUUAUCCAGCUAUAUAGAUGCCUCGAUUCUCGGGAAGCAUUAAAGAUAAAAGAUCCGUUGGAAGAUGACGUCAUUAAAGUUUUUUGUGUUUUCAAAAGAUGACGUCAUGGUGGGUUACAGAGUUUUUCAGACAGAAGAUGGAUUUCAUCGAAGUAUUGAAGAUUGACCAAGAACAAAGUUCAAAGUCAACCUGGGGCCUAAUGUUGGGGAUAUUACUACCAGUAUGACCCGCCCAGGAGGGGCCGGGUCAACCGUAAUGGCGGGUUACAUAAGAAGCCCAAUAUACAUUCAAGAUGAUAGUUUAUUAAAACAUAUAGAAGGCCCAAAGGCCUGGGGCCGGCUUAAGGCCCGAUAUUGUAAACUGCCGUAUGUAAGGAAACACUUGUAAAGAAAGGCAUGCAAAGGAAGUCACCGAGCCAGACACGGUUAUGAGCCGGCCGAGACUCUGUAGGCCACCAGGCGUCAACCCAUGUAUAUAAGGGGACGACCCGAUAGCGGCUUAGGGAAAGAAACAACCAAAUCGAUAACCAAGCCGGCGAGUUGAGCCCCUUGGAGAUGGAAACUUCAGCAAUACCAAUCCCAACUAGAUGUAGGCUUUUACCUUCAUCGUAAGGGGCCGAACUAGUAUAAAAACUCUCUCGUGUGUCCCUUGUCCCGAUUAACCCCUUUAAGCUUCCUAGUGCGAUGGCCCUACGACUAAGUCCUUGCUCCAGGACAUCUGCCGUGUCAACUCCACGACACAUUCCGUUAGCUUAGAACUUGAUCAUUUAGUUAGUUCCUAUUGCUUUCUUCAUGACUUAUACAUGUUCCUAUGACUAUGAGAUUGUGUAACUCCCGUUUACCGGAGGAACACUUUGUGUGCUACCAAACGUCACAACGUAACUGGGUGAUUAUAAAGGUGUUCUACAGGUGUCUCCGAAGGUACUUGUUGGUUUGGCGUAUGAUAACCCACAAGUAUAGGGGAUCGCAACAGCUUUCGAGGGUAGAGUAUUCAACCCAAAUUUAUUGAUUCGACACAAGGGGAGCCAAAGAAUAUUCUCAAGUAUUAGCAGCUGAGUUGUCAAUUCAACCACACCUGGAAACUUAGUGUCUACAGAAAAGUGUUUAGUAGCAAAGUAAUAUGAUAGUGGUGGUAGCGGCAACAAAAGUAAAGACAGCAAAAGUAAUGUUUUUGGUAUUUUGUAGUGAUUGUAAUAGUAGCAGCGGGAAAGUAAAUAAGCGAGAACCAGUAUAUGGAAAACUCGUAGGCACCGGAUCAGUGAUGGAUAAUUAUGCCGGAUGCGGUUCAUCAUGUAACAGUCAUAACAUAGGGUGACACAGAACUAGCUCCAAUUCAUCAAUGUAAUGUAGGCAUGUAUUUCGUAUAUAGUCAUACGUGCUUAUGGAAAAGAACUUGCAUGACAUCUUUUGUCCUACCCUCCCGUGGCAGCGGGGUCCUAUUGGAAACUAAGGGAUAUUAAGGCCUCCUUUUAAUAGAGAACCGGAACAAAGCAUUAGCACAUAGUGAAUACAUGAACUCCUCAAACUAUGGUCAUCACUGGGAGUGGUCCCGAUUAUUGUCACUUCUGGGUUGCCGGAUCAUAACACAUAGUAGGUGACUAUAGACUUGCAAGAUAGGAUCAAGAACUCACAUAUAUUCAUGAAAACAUAAUAGGUUCAGAUCUGAAAUCAUGGCACUCGGGCCCUAGUGUCAAGCAUUAAGCAUAGCAAAGUCAUAGCAACAUCAAUCUCAGAACAUAAUGGAUACUAGGGAUCAAACCCUAACAAAACAAACUCGAUUACAUGAUAAAUCUCAUCCAACCCAUCACCGUCCAGCAAGCCUACGAUGCAAUUACUCAUGCACAUCGAUGAGUAUCAUGAAGUUGGUGAUGGAGGAUGGUUGAUGAUCACGACGGCGACGAAUCCCCCUCUCUGGAGCCCCGAACGGACUCCAGAUCAGCCCUCCCGAGAGGUUUUAGGGCUUGGCGGCGGCUCCGUAUCGUAAAAUGCAAUGAUUUCUUCUCUCUGAUUUUUUUCUCUCCGAAAGCAAAUAUAUAGAGUUGGAGUUGGCGUUGGAGGGUUUCCAGGGGGCCCACGAGGUAGGGGGGCGCGCCCUAGGGGGGGCGCCCCCACCCUCGUGAGAAGGUGUGGGCCCCCUGGUCUUCAUCUUUGGCGAGGAUUUUUUAUUGUUUUUUUUAAGAUGUUCCGUGGAGUUUCAGGUCAUUCCGAGAAUAUUUGUUUUCUGCACAUAAAACAACACCAUAGCAAUUCUGCUGAAAACAGCGUCAGUCCGGGUUAGUUCCAUUCAAAUCAUACAAGUUAGAGUCCAAAACAAGGGCAAAAGUGUUUGGAAAAGUAGCUAUGACGGAGACGUAUCAGCGUAUUUCGAGAUUGGGAUUUGUCACUCCGAUUGUCGGAGAGGUAUCUCUGGGCCCACUUGGUAAUACACAUCACUUAAGCCUUGCAAGCAUUGCAACUAAUGAGUUAGUUGUGGGAUGAUGUGUAACGAAACGAGUAAAAAGACUUGCCGGUAACGAGAUUGAACUAGGUAUUGAGAUACCGAUGAUCGAAUCUCGGGCAAGUAACAUACCGAUGACAAAAGGAACAACGUAUGUUGUUAUGCGGUUUGACCGAUAAAGAUCUUCGUAGAAUAUGCAGGAGCCAAUAUGAGCAUCCAGGUUCCGCUAUUGGUUAUUGACCGGAGACAUGUCUCGGUCAUGUCUACAUAGUUCUCGAACCCGUAGGGUCCGCACGCUAUUGGCGAGGAUUUUUUAUUGUUUUUUCUAAGAUGUUCCGUGGAGUUUCAGGUCAUUCCGAGAAAAUUUGUUUUCUGCACAUAAAACAACACCAUAGCAAUUCUGCUGAAAACAGCAUCAGUCCAUGUUAGUUCCAUUCAAAUCAUACAAGUUAGAGUCCAAAACAAGGGCAAAAGUGUUUGGAAAAGUAGAUACGACGGAGACGUAUCAACUCCCCUAAGCUUAAACCCUUGCUUGUCCUCAAGCAAUUCAGUUGACAAACUGAAAGAAAGAAAAACUUUUACAAACUCUGUUUGCUCUUGUUGUUGUAACUAUGUCAAGCCAGCAUUCAAGUUUUCAGCAUAGAUCAUAACUAACCACAUUAGAAAUAAUUCUCAGGUCUCACAAUUACUCAUAUCAAUAGCAUAAUCAACUAGCAAGUCAUAAUAAUAAAUCUCGGAUGACAACACUUUCUCAAAACAAUCAUAAUAUGAUAUAACAAGAUGGUAUCUCACUAGCCCUUUCUGAGACCGCAAAACAUAAAUGCAGAGCACUUUUAAAGAUCAAGGACUGACUAGACAUUGUAAUUCAUGGUAAAAGAGUUCCAAUCAUAGUCAUACCCAAUAUAAAUUAACAGUGAUGAAUGCAAAUGACGGUCGUGCUCUCCAGCUAGUGCUUUUUAAUAAGAGGGUGAUGACUCAACAUAAAAGUAAAUGGAUAGGCCCUUCGCAGAGGGAAGCAGGGAUUUGUAGAGGUGCCAGAGCUCGGUUUUGAAAUAGAGAUAAAUUGUAUUUUGAGAGGUAUACUUUCAUUGCCAACGUAACAACUAAGAGAUGGCGAUAUCUUCCAUGCUAAACACAUUAUAGGCGGUUCCCAAAAACAAUGGUAAAGUUUAUACUCCCCCUCCACCAACAAGCAUCAAUCCAUGGCUUGCUCAAAACAACGAGUGCCUCCAACAUACAUCAGGUCCUAGGGGGAGUUCUGUUUGCAAUUAAUUAUGAUUUAGUUUGCAUAAAGCAUGGGACUGGGCAUCCCGGUGACCAGCCAUUUUCUCGUGAGUGAGGAGCGGAGUCCACUCCUCUUGAGAAGAACCCGCCUAACACGGAAGAUAAGGACAUCUUUUGUUGAUACAUGAGCUAUUCGAGCAUACAAAACAGAAUGUUUAUUUGAAGGUUUAGAGUUUGGCACAUACAAAUUUACUUGGAACGGCAGGUAGAUACCGCAUAUAGGAAGGUAUGGUGGACUCAUCUGGAAUAACUUUGGGGUUUAAGGGAUUGGAUGCACAAGAAGUAUUCCCGCUUAGUAACAGUGAAGGCUAGCAAAAGAUUGGGAAGCGAUCAACUAGAGAGCGACAACAACCAUGUACAUGCAUUAAAAUUAAUAAACAUUGGAUGCAAGCAUGAGUAGGAUAUAAUCCACCAUGAACAUAAAUAUCGUGAAGGCUAUGUUGAUUUUUUUCAACUACAUGCGUGAACAUGUGCCAAGUCAAGUCACUUAAACCAUUCAAACGAGGAUACCACCCCAUCAUACCACAUCAUAAUCAUCUCAAUAGCAUGUUGGCAUACAAGGUAAAUCAUUAUAACUCAUAGCUAAUCAAGCAUGGCACAAUCAACCAUGAUCUCUAAUUGUCAUUGCAAACAUGUUUAUUCAUAAUAAGUUGAAUCAAAAACGAGGGACUCAUCAUAUUUACAAAAACAAAAGAGGUCGAGUUCAUACCAGCUUUUCUCGUCUCAGUUAGUCCAUCAUAUAUCAUCAUAAUUGCCUUUCACUCGCACGACCGAACGGUGUGAAUAAUAAUAAGAGUGUACGUGCAUUGGACUAAGCUGGAAUCUGCGAGCAUUCAAUAAACAGGAGAAGACAAGGCAAUAUGGGCUCUUGGUUAAAUCAACAAUAAUGCAUAUAAGAGCCACUUCAACAAUUUAAUUAUGGUCUUCUCCUACCGACCCCCAAAGAAAAGAAAAGAAAUAAACUAUUUACACGGGAAAGCUCCCAACAAGCAAAAGAAGAACGGGAAAUAUUUUUGGGUUUUCUUUUUAAUUAUUACUACUACAGCAGAAAAAUAAACUACUACGAUUUUUUUCUUAAGGUUUAACAAACACACAAGAAGAAAACAGGAAAAAGAAAAUAAACUAGCAUGGAUAUUACAGUGAAAAAGUAUGAGUACCGACAUCUACCAAUGAGUGUGUGUGAACAUAAAUGUAAUGUCGGUGAGAAAUACGUACUCCCCCAAGCUUAGGCUUUUGGCUUAAGUUGGUCUAUGGCCACGGCUGGCCUGGCGGAUAUCCAUAAUAAUAGUUGUUGGGGUCGUACUAUGAUGAGGAGGAAUAGUUGGGAUCAUACUGUGUUGAAGAAGAAGACUCUGAUUGCCACUGGCUGACAGUCAUCUCUGGAUCCCAAGAAUAAACAGAUUGUCGUGGAGGCUCAUCUUGUGGCUCCUGUCCCGUGGCUGGUGCAGGAUUCUUGUAAGCUUGGACGGCAGCCCAUGUGACGAGGUAGGGUCCUACAAAAUUAAACAAAGAAGGAGCAGGCAGGGUAAUAGUCUCAGGAUGAUGUUUGUUAAAGAACAAUUGAUAUUUAAGCUCUCCUGCCCUAUUCUUAACAAUAAAAUCAUGUGCCACCAUACUUUUAUGAUCUAGAUAAACACGGGGCAGCACCUUUUCUUCCUUCUCAGCAUGCCUAAUAGGUAUGUUAAAAUGUGCAGCUAGGCGUGUGGCAUAGACGCCUCCAAAGAUGGGACCCUUAGUACGGUUCAUACUUGACCGUCUAGCAAUAAUACCGCCCAUACUAAAAGUGUUAUUACUGUAUAAACCAUGGUGCAAAAUAAUUAUAUCAGGGAUACUCAGGUUUCCACUGUUUCCGUGUCCAAUUAAACAACGACGAGCAAAUAAUGCAAAGUAGCAUAAUACAGGAAAAUGUAUGCUAGUGAUUCAUGCAUCGGAAACCUUUCUAGUUUCUCCUACAGUGAUAGUAUCAAUAAACCCAGUCACAUCAUCAUGAUGUGGCUCUUCUGUCUUGCCCUCAAAAGGGAUUAGAAAAAUCCGACAGAAAUCAUAAAGUGACAUCUCCUAAUGCUCAUCAUAUAAAUGAAACUCCACCGUAGGUGGUGAGUUCCUAGAAUGAAAAUGAAAGUUUUGCACGAAAGUAUUUGUGAGCAAGAGAUACUGAUCGCAUUGGUCGUGGAGGAAAGCGGUGAGGCCUGCAUUGUGAGCCAAUUCGUGAAAAUCUUCAUAGAUACCGGCUGCUCUCAAGAAAUCUUCAGAAGGUCAUUCACACGCCUGAAUCUCCGCGGUGCGCGGCAAAUUAUACUUAGGCUUCGGUACCUUUUCCUUCGAGCUUUGGCUCGACGAGCCCCUCAAAAAUCUCCUCAUUAUUUUUCUGAAACAAUCUGAAAUUUUUAGUAACUUCAAACAAAAAUGAACCAACAUCAAUAAUAUUGAUAGCAACUACUCCUACAAGUGCCUAGAGCCUAUAUCAAGCAUUAGAACUACUUGGAACCAUAUAAAUUUGACAUGCAAGCUCAAGAACAUGGUCACCUACGCAUCACAAAUCUGCAAAGAAUAAAGCACUAGAACAAAAACUAAUUGGACCAAUGGAGGAGUCACUUACCAAGGAACAAUCUCCCCAAGUGGUUUUGCGAGAGGUGCUUUGAGCAAGGAGAUCGAAAAUCGCAGCAAAAGUGGCUGGAACUCGUGUUUGAGUUGGUUUUUCGGGUUUGUGUGAGAUAGAGGAAGAAGAUGGGUGCUGGCAUAAGUGGAGGAGGGCCACCAUGGGCCCACGAGGCAGGGGCGCGCCCUAGGGGGGCGCCCACCACCCUCAUGGCCAGGUGGCAGCUCCUCCCGCGGUAAUUUUUGCACAGUAAAUCCUCAAAUAUUCCUGAAAAAUCAUAUUAAAUUGGCAUGGCAUUCUGAGGACUUUUAUUUUCGGGAUAUUUUUAUAUUGCAUGGAUAAGUCAGGAAACAGACAAAAAAAAUA
rnacentral:lncRNA from 1 species